AGGAGGACCUAUGUGCCUCAAUUCAAGAGAUGAAGGUCCUUUCCCGCUUGCUUUUAUUUGUAGCUGAUGGAGAGGAAUUUCUUCGAGUUGACGCAUUGUCUUCACCGCCUCCCUACCUUGAUAGACUUAGAUUGGUCGGCAAACUGGAAAAGGUACCACAACGGUUUUGUUCACUCCACUCUCUCGCAUAUUUGAAUCUGCGUGGGUCUAGACUUGAAGAAGAUUUUCUACCUCAUAUUGAAGCAUUGCCCUCUCUACGUUCUCUUUGGCUUGAUAAUACCUCUGUUAAGAAAGAGUUAUGUUUCAACAGAGGCUUUGUGAAGCUUUGGUAUUUGCAGUUUCAGAAUUUCGCAUUAUUAAAUAAGAUAACUAUAGAAAAAGGGACGAUGCCAAAUCUUGAGUUCUUAGACAUUCGUAGUUGCAUGACGUUAGAAACAUUGCCACAGGGUAUUGAGCACCUUAUUAAACUACGAGGAUACAGAUUUGAUAAUGUUUCAGAGAAGUUUAGAGAGUCCAUAAAAGGAGGAGGUGUGGAUCAUCCAAGGAUGCUACUCGUCGACGAGAAAUGUAAGAAACAUAUGUAAGUGUCUUUUAUCCUUUCAUUGACUUUCCUAAACCUAAUGAUUUGGAAUAUUUCCAAAAUUAAUGAUUUGGAUGUAAAGCCUUAUAAAUUGUUUGUUAUUAUAAUAUCGCUUUUGUCUUUUUAUGUAUUUUGCAGAAACAAGUCCACCCUGAUUGAAGAAUUUACCCAUGAGUACUCUUUUUACUCUUUUUGAAAAUCAAAUAAUACCAAAGUUGAUGUUCAUAAAAUUUCAUAUGUCGCUUCAACAAUGGGCAGGCGUAUGUCGACGAUUAGCUUUUAAGAUUUGGAUCAUGGAUUCAUUUAUAUUCGGUGUGUUUGUACUUUCUUCUAUGUUAAUUGUGUUUGUAAGAAUACCAUCAAGUAUUAGUAAGAUGAAGAAAUUGCAAACUUUGGCAUAUAUUGAAUCAGAAGGAAACAUUAUUAGAUUUAUUGGAAAUAUGACCCAGCUUACGUUCCUUGGCAUUACAAUGUGAAAGAAAGAGACGAGGAGGACCUAUGUGCAAUGGCAGAUCCACAUAGGGAUAAGAGGGGUCGAUUGACCCCUGCAAACCUAGAAUCUACCAUAGGAGGCCAAGAACUUAACCCUUGAAAAUUCCCUAGAAGGUGUUUGAUGAAAUGCCACAAAGAGGAAGUAGCCGUAGCACACACUGGUAGCAAGAAGCUAGCUGCGCGCCUGUGAAGCGCUCACAGCGUCUUUUUUUUUCCUCUACGUCAAAACGACAUCAUUCCACUUAAGAUUUUUUAUUUUUUAUUUAAAAAAAACCUGGCCAAAAACGACAUCAUUUUGGCUUAGGUGUUUAAAAAAAAAAAUUACAACUUAGGCAGCAACUCUGCUGCCUAAUAAAACCUACGAGUGCAUCUUGGACGCAAAUGUUUCUCUUUCCUCUCUCCUCCCAUACAAGAGCAAGUAUUUGCUCUUAGAUCUAUAGCAAAUUCUCCUCCAUACAUAUGACUUAUUUGAUAUUUCUUCUCCCUAGCCAACCUUGGUAUGAAUUGACUUGAUGCCAACUUAUUUUUCUCUAUUACGUUGAAGAUUCUAGGAUCAACAGUAUACCUCCAAUGUUGACAAUGCCCUUCUAUUAGCCAUCCUAAUCAUAAUAUACAUCCUUAUUCUCUCAAGGCAUGUUAGGAUUGGCUUAUCCCUUGCAUCCAUAAUGACUGCAUUGAAGCUUUCACAUAGGUUAUUUAACAACAAAUCACACUUAUAGUGUGUUGCAAAAUGAGAUCUUGACCAAUUUCUUGCUGGCCUCUCAAUUAGCCACCCCCAAGCAUCUGCAUCCUCCUUCUUCAUAUUAUCCAUCUCUGCUUCCCACCAAGGAAAUGUGGUUGGCCUCGCAGCAGCCCAUAGCAAAUGUUUCAGAGCAAGUCCUGUGUGUUGGCCUUUGAAGUUGUUAUACAAAUGUCUCACGCACAUUCUGUGUUUAGCAUUUGGUAGAGCUGUUUGCAUAGUGGGAAUUAGCCCCUUCUGUUUAUUACUUUUAAAUUCCCAUGCCAAAUCAUUUUAAAUCCCCAAGUCUGCAAUUAAGAGUUAUAGAAACCAUAUCCAACUACUUUUGCUUUCUAUUUCAACUAUAGCAUAGGCCAAUGGGAACAAAGGUAUGUUCCCAUCAAUACCAACUGUAGUUAAGAUCUGCCCUGAGGAGGGUCCUUUUAAGAGGUAGCCAUCAACACCUACAACAGGCCUACACCCUUCUAAGAAACCAUUUUUAGAAGCAGCUAAACAAAUAUAAAUCCGUUCAAACAAUGCAUCAUCACCUGCUAGUUCAGUUUUAAUUACCACAGUACUUCCAAGGUUGAUCUUCUUAAUUUGCUCUACAUAAUCCCUUAAUCUCUCGUAUUGUUCCUUGUACGAACCUUCAAUGACCUUCUUAGCCAAUUUUUUUGCCCUAUACACUUGGUUAUGUAUAACAUUCAUUACAUAUGUUCCCUCACCUCAUCUUGAAGUUGCCCUACAUUCCAAUUGGGAUUUCUUCUCAUCUUAUCACAAAAUCUUUGUAAAAUCCAUGUUGAAGUAGCAUAUCUUAACCUGUCUACUCUGCCACAUGUAUGAUUAGCAUGUAUAGCCUUUACUUUAAAAAUGGAUUCUCUUUAUCAAUCCUAGAUGCAUAAAGAACAAAUGUACAGUUCCUAGAUCCACGACACAGGACCUUCACUCUUCUCUUGCCAUUUUUAUCAAAUUUCAACAACUUGCCGUUUACAAUUGCAUACUCCUUUAUUGCUUCCUUCAAGUGCUCCCGAUUUGCAAAUUGCAUCUCCAAAUGAAAUUAUGGAUUUUUAAGGUCAGUAGCUCUCCUAUAUUGCUUGAACUUUGGUAGGAGAAUCCUCUAUUUUUUGUCACAUGUCGACUGCUAUUCUCAUCAUCUGAGGUGUUCCUAUCAGAAUAUAAAGUAUCAGAAUCUGCCCCAUCAUCUGAUAUCUCUCCUGGCCCUUGUGUUUCACUCUCAACAUUUACUUCUUCAUCACAAGGCAUAUUUAUGUCUACAUUACAACCUUUCUUUGCCUCCUCAUCUUCACUAAAAGCAUUAUCACUAUCCACAAACUCUGAAUCUUCUUCUUCUUCAUCAAUUGCAGCUUCACAAUCUCCAAGAGAAAUAACAUGCUCAUCAGUAUCUAAAGCUUCAUAACCUCCAUCAUUUGGUCUUCAUUAAAUCUCCCAUAGUUGUAUUCUUCACUUUGCAAACUAAGCCAUUCUACAGAUGUUUGAGUCUAUGUCUUAUCACUUAUUUUUUUGUCAGUAUAGUAUAACACUAACACUCUGUUACUUGUUAUGCAGUCAACCAUGUCACAUAUAACACUGUCAUUGUCAAUGAGCUUUACAUUAGUUUCACCUUUACUAUAAUACAUCUGACAAUAUAUUUGCAAACAUAUCUCCUUCUUAGUUAGGUCCACUUUAUAUCCUAACGCUAUACCUAUUUUCCUUAAAUCCAAGAGUGAUAGAUAAUCAUCCACACAGUAUAUUCAACAUCAAUUUUUAAAAUCUCUACUCACCUAAAUAAGGAUAAAUCACACUUCAAUUAAAGCAAGGAUAGUACAUACCAAGUGUGCUAGUGUGUGUAACUAUACAAUCAAUUGACACAAAUCAUACCAGUAGGACCACAAACCCUUAAAUUCAACCAAGGAUAGUAGGACCAAGUAUGCACUCAAUGUCUGACCAAAACACAAGGUAUGCAUUCAAUGUUGACAUAAAGACAAAAGAAAACAGUUUUUUGUUUGCCCAAAAGAGAGACAAUAACAAAACCCUCAAUUGCUACAUAGUUGGAGCAGACACAGACAGAAUUCCAAAACAACAUAAAGCAAUUAACAUAUAAAAAUGUGCUUCCAUUAGCAUCGCAUAUUGUAUAUUAAGGGGGGGGGGGGGGGGGGGGGGGGUCCUAACCACCCGGAUUUCAAACCCCUCAAAAUUUUCAACAACCCCCUUUGGCCCCCCCAAGGGAAAACCCAAACAUUUUGGCCCUAAAGAACCUUAAACCCCAUGGCCCCCAAAAAAANNNNNNNNNNNNNNNNNNNNNNNNNNNNNNNNNNNNNNNNNNNNNNNNNNNNNNNNNNNNNNNNNNNNNNNNNNNNNNNNNNNNNNNNNNNNNNNNNNNNNNNNNNNNNNNNNNNNNNNNNNNNNNNNNNNNNNNNNNNNNNNNNNNNNNNNNNNNNNNNNNNNNNNNNNNNNNNNNNNNNNNNNNNNNNNNNNNNNNNNNNNNNNNNNNNNNNNNNNNNNNNNNNNNNNNNNNNNNNNNNNNNNNGACAAAAUCGACUCAAAUGUAGUCCAAUUCCUAGCUUUUGCUAUAUCUGAAACCUUCAGCAGAAACCCUUUUGUCUGAAAGCUUCAUCUUGUUGACUCUUCAGCUUUUUCUUUUCUUGUUUGGUUCAUACCUCUAGUCAAAGUUCUGAUGUGUCAUAACUCGUAUAAGAGAAUCUAAAAGAGUAAAAGUCUUUUUUGUCACUCAACUACUCCCUACAUGCCCUAAAUUUAACGAAAAAAUUGACAGAAGUAACGGUGGGACUAGCUGUUCAAACAAAACUAAAGUUAAAGGACCAUGGGUACCAUUUUGGAAAUUGAGGUACUCAAAUGCAAAUCGGGUCAAAGGGGUGACUAAUAAUACUAUUAACCCUAUUGGUAUUGAUUACUCUGGCUUCUCCAAUAAUACGUAUAAUUAGUAGUUUAAACAUUUCACUCAAACAAACCCUAACUAUUAUAAUUCAAAACUUUAAAAUAAAGAAAAAUAAAUCAGUUUUCCAAUCUCUGCACUCACAGCCGUCAGCCAAAAGAAACUAAUGGAAACCCAAGAGGGAUUAGCUUAUUGCACAAAUGCAAAGCAACUAAGCCAAACUUCGACAAUAAGAAAAGCCACUCAGAUGCAUAGAUUGUUUUCGAUUUAGCUACUAUCUGUUUGCCCGUUUUGUGUUUACUCCUGUGAUGGAAGGGCAAAAUUCUCUAUCGCCUUGAAAACCAUUGACUGGUCAACAAGCCAACUUUCUUUGGCGUGCGAGUGUGCCACUGCUAGCAAUGAAAAAUCCUAGUAGACUUCUUUGAAACAGAUAACUUGCGCCCCAAGUUACUGAUUUCUAAAUAAGCGAUCGUGAAUUUAGGUGAGGAAUAUCUCCCAAGUAAGUUCUUUUCUUGCCUCAGACUGGUGAGGACUUCACAAUUUAUCUCAGUACAAGAUUGGUAGUUUUGGCCAAAAUAAAUGAUAAUAAAGUGGAUUUUUUAGACAGAACUGCCUGUUACAAAACUAGAAAGGAAAAGAUCAACUCUAGAAAGACAAAAAGAAGGCUAAAAUUCUAUUUCUGCCUGGAUAGAAGCUUCUAAUCCGGGCUGGACUGAGUAUGUCUGUGCUGGACUGAACUGUCAACAACUUCAACUGCUAAGCUUCAGUUGUAAAUCGAUACCAAAGUUUGAGUUUGACAGAGUUUUAAUAUAUUUCAAGCCUUGGAAGGCUUUUCAAACGGGCAGAACUGCAACUUCUUUGGUCUGAACAGGGCAGAAGUGGCUGGACUUGAGAAUUAACUUUGCGCGACGAAAAACAAUUCGUCGCACAAAGUCACUUUGCGCAACAAACUUUUGCGCGACGAGAAUACUUCGUCGCUCAAAGUCUUGCGAAACAAUUCGUCACGCAAAGUGACUUUGCAGGACGAACGUUUGCUCAACGACAAUACAUCGUCGCUCAAAGUGACUUGCACGACGAAACAAUAAACUUCGUUGCACAAAGUCUUUAGCGGCGAAGUGUGUUUCGUCACGCAAAGUCUUUACAAAAAUAAAUAAAAUAAUUUUUUAAAUCUUUGCAUGACGUAAUCUAAACAUUUUGUCGCCUAAACCAAUUUAUUUUUGUCUUUUAUUUUGUAUGCAUAACACUUAAGAAAUUAAACGGUAUAUAUAUUUAUUAAGCAGCUUUAAAUUUAUUAUUUUAGUUCGGAUAGGAUUUUUGUUAUAAAAAUAUAUUAUUGUAGUUCAUAUUGGGCUUUUGUUAGAAAAUAUAUAUUUUAAAUUGAUGAUCGAAUUAGUUCAUUGUAUUCAUAUAGGGUCAAGGAGUGUAGCUAUAAAAAAUCAUCAAAAUUGGAGUUAAAAUAACCGUUAAAUCGUGAUUUUUCAUUUAUAACCGUCAAAAAUUUUGUCCCAUUACUUGAUCUCUGAAUGUUUAUCUUUUUCGAUUUUUGGCGUAUAUGAUCUCAAAGUAUAAACAAACAAGUUUGACUGUUGGAUCGUUGAAACUAGUUUCGUUGAAUGCAUAUGCCAUCAAAACAAUAUAUUAACUAAAAAUCAAGAGUUUAUUUAUACUUUCGUUAAAUAUAACAUAAGAUUUUGUGGUAUCCACUAGUGUAAAUAUUUUAAAUUGAAGAUCUAAUUCAGUCAUUGUAUUCAUAUAGGGUCAAGGAGUGUAGCUGAAAAAAUCAUCAAAAUUGGAGUUAAAAUAUCCGUUAAAUCGUGAUUUUUCAUUUAUAACCGUCGAAAAGUUUUUUCCCAUUACUUGAUCUCUGAAUGUUUAUUUUUUCUGAUUUUUGGCGUAUACAAUCUCGAAGUAUAAACAAACAAGUUUGACGGUUGGAUCAUUGAAACUAGUUUCGUAGGAUGCGUAUACCAUCAAAACAAUAUAUUCACUAACAAUUAAGAGUUUAUUUAUACUUUCAUUAAAUAUAACAUAAGAUUUUGUGGUAUUCACUAGUGAAAAUAUUUUAAAUUGAAGAUCAAAUUCAAUCAUUGUAUUCAUAUAGGGUCAAGGAGUGUAGUUGUAAAAAAUCAUCAAAAUCGGAGUUAAAAUAACCGUUAAAUCGUGAUUUUUCAUUUAUAACCAUCGAAAAAUUUUGUCCCGUUACUAGAUAUCUAAAUGUUUGUUGUUUGUGAUUUUUUGGGGUAUACGAUCUUGAAGUAUAUGAAAACAAGUUUGACGAUUGGAUCGUUGAAUGGUGUGUGUGUGUAUAAUAUAUAUACACAAAACUUUAACAUUUUUUUUAGACUUUUCUCGACCAAUUUUUUUCGUCACGCGAAACUUUGCGCGACCAAUUUUCGAAUAUUUUUCGUCGCACAAAACUUAAAAAAUUUGAGCGGUUACCAAAAAUGAGACGUGGAAAUUUUUUUUUUAGACUUCGUGCAACCAAUAUUUUUGCGCGCAAAACUUUAAAAAUUUGGGAGGGUACAAAAAAUGAGACGUGGGAAAACUGUUAUUUUUUAAUUUUUUUUGGGACUUUGCGCGACCAAUAUUUUUUGUCGAGCAAAACUUUGCACGACCAAUAAUCCAAUAUUUUUCGUCCCUCAAAACUUUGCGCGACCAAUAUAUAUUUUUUGUCGUGCAAAGUGAUACGGUUUUUAAAACCAAAAUAACUCCUUCACUAUUUUCUCAAUGUCUUUCUCUACUCUUACCUCUCCUCUCUCUUUCCCUCUCCCUAAAUCCCACCCUUUCUCUCACACUCACUCCUCUCUCUCUUCUCUAUCUCUCACUCUCUCAUAUCUCUUUUCACUAUCUCUCACUCUCACUCACUCUCUCAUCUCUCUUUUCACUAUCUCUCACUCUCACUCUCACUCACUCACUCAUCUCUCUCUCUCUCUCUCUCUCUCUCUCUCACUCACUUCUCCCUCUCAUUCUCACUCACUCUCAAUCUUGCCAAAAGGUAUAUUCUUUCCAAAUUUAAAAAAAAUUUCAUUAAUAUGUGUUUUUGGAGUUAGUUUUGAGUUUGUGUGGGGUUUGGAGUUGAGUAUAUGGUGAGGAUUGGAGCUUGGGUUGGAUUUGUGGUAUAACAAUUUUAGGGGAGAUUAUGCCAAUUUUUUUAUUUUUUAUUUUUUGGUUAUUUGACCAUAUUUGUUUUUUUUAGGGAAUUGUCAACACUUUGACGGCUAAAGUUGAGAAUUAGGACGCUAUCGAAACAUAUCCUCCGCCACUUCCACCACAAUAGGCUUGUAUUAGUAUUUUAUUAUUGUACUUUGUUAAUUUAUGUGUACAUUUUGAAUAUUAUAUAUUUAUUGGAUAAUUUGAUCACUAUUUUUCAUAUGUAAUUUUAUUUUGAAUAUGUCAAUUUAAAUUAUUAAAAAAAAUCAUACAAUUAAAUUAAAUUCAAAAAGUCAAAAUUCGAAAAAAUUAAUAUUAAAACAAAGAGUCAAAAACCUUGCGCGACAAAAUAUUUCGUCGAGCAAACUAUUAAAUUAGUUUAUUUUAAAACACAAAAAAUAUUUAAUUGCUCAAAUAUUUGCGCAACAUUAUUAUUCAUCGCGCAAAACUUUAAAAAUUUGGGCAGGUAUCAAAAAUGGGGCGAGAGAUUUUAUUUUAUUUUUUUUGCCUUUGCGCGACCAAUAAUUUUCGUCGCGCAAAACUUUGUUCGACUAAUACUUUUUGUCGCGCAAAAUUUUUCGCGACCAAUACUUUUUCAUUUCGCAAAGUUUUGCGCGACAAAUACUUUUUCGUUGCCUGAAAAAUGAGCAUGUUGCCUGCAACACACACAUCCAAAAUCAAACCAGCAGCAUGAUCAAUUCUAAGAUUUAAAACACCAAUACAUUACCAAACUUUAGAGCAACAGGUCACUUGCCUCUAACUUUGCAAGGUCUUAAGGAUCCAAAUUGCAUGCAGUAAGGACAUGAAGGACAAUGGAGGGGUUGGCAGCUAAAAGGAGUUCUCUGGGGAUAAAGGUCCCAAAGCGAUGGCAUUGCCUCCUUUUGAAUGUUGGUACAGGAGUGGCAACAACAAUAGUGGUAAUUAGCUGGUCAGGAAUGUUAUGGUAUUGUAUAGUUGGGGUUCCACUAGUUUUGGCAUCCACUGGCACUACCAAAAUUCGCAGUGGCCAAGCUUUGGAAAGGAGAAGUUCUAAAUUGCUGAAAAUUAUGAAAUAUUGGUACAACACUUGUCACAUUACUCCUCUCCAUUAUCCAACAUUAGCAUCUAAAGUUUUAAAACGAACACAUUCUUGCUAAUUUUAUUCAUGGAUAAUCUAUGCAGGGGUAUCAACCUUGACAAAUAUGUUAUUGAUCAACAAACUUCAAGUCUCAAACCUACAAAUAAAAAAACAUACCUAAAAAAAACUCUUUAUAUAACAGCAACUACAAGAACCAAUAAUGCAACAAUUUAUGUCCAAUCAACAUGUCAUAAGAAAUGGUGUCAAAGCAACAGAACAUAAGGCAUGUACUGGAAUUGAGAUUUCAAAAUCGUUUACAACAAAAGACCAAACAUCUGCAAAAUUAGACACCAGAGAAAUUCACAACCCGACCAUUUUGAUCAUAGUUCAACCAAAGCCAAAACUGUAGAUUUUCAGGCUAUCCAAAUGAAAAGGGGUUAACAAAGAAACACAAAACUUUAAAACAAUUAUAAUAAAAAAAAAAAAAAAAACUUGAGGUAGACAAAAAGAUGGAAAACUUUGAGAAGUAGAAUACUAGUAAUAACAAGAUACCUCUACAAGAAAAAAGAAAAAAGAAAAAAAAGGUACACUGUUAAUACUACGUCAUAGAAGUACACUGUUAAUACUAUGUCAUAGAACCAUCUUCCAAGUAAAAAUCACAUUUUGCAUAUCAUAAACUUCAAGUGCACAACUAUAUAUAGAACAAAAUAUAGAGCAUGCUUUAUUACUGAAAAUAUGUUAAUACUAUAUCAUAGAAGUACACUGUUAAUACUAUGUCAUAGAAAUAAACUCAAUUGCAGAGUAUAAACAGUAUAACAAUUAUUCAUAUACUACUACAAAAAAGCAAAAAGACGACGGUAAAUCACCGUCGUGUAUUUGGUUUUUCAAUGGUCGUGGAAUCCACCGUCAUCUUUUCCCUCAUAAACCACGACGCUAAAUAACCGUCGUUGUUAAACAAUACAACGUCAUCAAAAAAUACAAAACGACGUCUUUGUACUGCAAAAAGAUCUAAAAAAAGCAAUCGAGGAUGAUAAUAGACGACCAAUUCUCUAAAAACACCGUCGUUAAAAAGGGAAAAUAUGACACAUAUUAAGAGAACAAAGCCGCAAGAUAGACAUACAACGACGACAAUAAAAAUACGCCGACGUUAAAUAUAAUUUUCACGACAAUAAAAAAUAUGACGUCUUUAAAUACAUUAGAAGACGACGUUAUUGAUACCUACUACGUCGCACAUAUAAACACAACCGUCGUACAAUUAAUUUUCCACUUCGAUUUUUCGAUAAAAGAUGACGUGAAAAUAGUUGUCAGUGUCAUUAUUUACGACGUAUGUGUUUCUAUAGUAGACGUUGAAAAACUAAACAACGUCAGUUACAAAUAUAUGAGAGUCGUAUUAAAAAAUUUAUACGUCCUAUUUUCAGAAACAAACAACGACCAUAAAUAUUAGACGUUGUUAAAUACAACAACGUCGGAAAACAAUAAAAACAGACGUGUUUAGUCUGCUAAAGUUCUACAACGUCUCUUAUUUACAAAAAACCGUCGUGAAAUAAAUUUUCCACUUCGAUUUUUCUAAAAAAGAUGACGUGGAAAUAGUUGUCAGUGUCAUUAUUUACGACGUAUACAUUUAUAUAGUCGACGUUGUAUUUAUAUGUAUUCAUUACUCACGACGCACUUAAUAAUAUAGACGACGUUGAACGUCUAAACAACGUCGGUUCCAAAUAAAUGAGAGCCGUAUUACAGAACAUAUAGACGGCGUAGAUUAUGAUGGGAGCCGUAUUACAAAUAACGUCGUUUAAUUGUUAUUAGACGGCGGUUAUAAUGAAUUUCCGUCGGAAUUAAUUUCGUUCCUCUUCGUUUAUAAAAGAACUUGCGACGUGGAAAAUGUAUGAUGACGUCGUAUUUUUUAACGUUCAGAUUAUAUAUCUCGUUUUUUAGACGUCGGUAUUAUGGGAUUGGAGUCGUGUUAUUUUGAAUUACAUGGCGGUUCUUUAUCCUUCACCGACGUGAUAUCCUGAAUAAUUGCUUCACAAUAGCGUCGUGGUUCUUCAUUGUUACGUUGCUUUAAGACGUCGGUAAAUAUGCUGAAUAACUGAUUCACAAUAACGUCGUGUUUUAUUUGAACGUAGAAAGUGAAGAAAUCACAUUACAAUAUAUUACAAAAUUAAUGUCAUACACUGCCAAUUACAUAAGCAUCAUUCAAUCCAUAUAUCUUCACACCCAUCUCGAAUAUUUUGACCGCCUAACUCACCUACCAGUUCAUCAAAUGUGUCAACAUUUGGCAUCCCUCUAGUAAAUGGCUCACACUCAAUUAUCACAUCACCUAAUACUUCAUCACCAAUAACAUCAUUAUAUUCUCUACUAGGCAUUGAUAACACUACCGACCAACCACGAUGCAUCGGGUCGUCAACAAAAAAUAUUUGUUUGACUUGAGAAGCCAAAACAAAUUGGUCAUUCCUAUGUCCAAUUUUACUCAAAUCUACAAGGGUAAAUCCAAGUUCGUCGACUACAAGACCAGAACUAUCUAUCCAAUCACACCUAAAGACUGGGAUUGUAAACUUUUGGUAGUCAAGGUCCCAAAUUUCUUGAAUGACACCAUAGAAACCCAUAUUUGAGAGAAUUGGGUUUUUAUCCUUGGCACUAGCAACUUGCAUGGUAUGUGCAAGUAAAUAAACUCCACUAUUUUGAGUUGUCCGCACAUCAUCUUGUGCCUUGAUAUUGAAUUUAAUACCUUUAAUAAGAUAGCUCCUAUAUAAUGGCACUGACAUGUUUGGACCAGCUGCUAGCCACCUUAAAUUUUCUGAUACGCCAUGAUUGUCUUCCUCAACUUCACUUUGAACCUGCAAAUUAAUCAUAUCUUAAUUCAUCCUAACAUAUAAAUAAGAAGAAAAUUAAAAGAGAAAUACGUUAUUCAACAACAUAUACCUUGAAGCGUAGCCAUUGAAUGAAAGUGCUAUUGUGCUUAUCCUGCAGCCACUUUGUUCUCUUUCUAAAUUUUGGAUAAGCAGUCUUGAUGUGGAUCAUAUGUUGCCUACAUGACACGAAAAAUUCAAGCAUUACGGUCCCAAAUAUAUAAGAUAAACAUAAGAAAUAAUUUUAAAUGGAAACUUAAAGAAUAAAACUCAUACGUACUCGAUAUAAGGUAGGACUUCCUCCGUAUUCUCCAAGACAUAUAGAUGUGCUUGAUUCAACAGGUCCUGAUCAACUACGCUCACUGUGCAACCUGAUAAUGGCUUUGAAACUCCCAUCUUUUGGCUUGAAGGCACUCCAACUGUACUAACAUCAGAUAAAUGCUGAGUACAAAACUCUACCGCUUCUUCAGCUAUAUACCGCUCAGCAAUGCAACCUUCGGGACGAGUACGAUUCUGAACAUACCCCUUCAGCACUUUCAUAUAUCUUUCAAACGGAUACAUCCACCUAAAAUAUACUGGCCCACAUAGACGAACUUCUCUGACAAGAUGUACUACUAGAUGAACCAUGAUAUCAAAGAAUGAAGGGGGAAAGUACUUCUCAAGCAAACACAGAGUAACUACUACAUCUUCUUCCAACUUAUCUAGCUUGGAAACAUCAACAGUCUUUGCACAUAUAGCAUUGAAGAAGAAGCACAAACGAGUUAUUGCAUACCUUGCAGGCUUCUCCAAAACAGAACGAAUUGCCACAGGGAGCAAUUGUUGCAUUAAGGUAUGACAAUCAUGUGAUUUAAGGCCAAGAAGUCUUGAAUCUUGUACAGAUACAAGAUUUUUAAUAUUUGAAGAAUAACCUUCAGGGACCUUCAUACCAUAGAAAGAAUUGCAAACCUCUCUCUUCUCUGCUCUUGACAAAUUCCAAGGCCCAGGAGGCAAACGAGUACGUCUUUCUCCAUACUCGGGUUGCAAAUCAGUUUUGACCCCCAUGUUCAAUAAAUCUAAUCGAGCAGCAAUCCCAUCUUUAUUUUUUCCAGGGAUCUCCAGCAAUGUACCAAUGAUACUAUCGCAAACAUUCUUCUCAAUGUGCAUAACAUCUAGGGCAUGCCUCACAGGAAGGUAUUUCCAAUACUCGAGAUCAAAGAAUAUUGAUUUCUUCUUCCAACAAACUCUGUCACCAUUUUCAACCAUAUGCAGCACUUCUUCUCCGGUUAAUGGCUCUGGAGGUAUGCCAUAUUCAGGUUUCCCAUUAAAAGCUGCACGUUGCCUCCUAUAUGGAUGAUUGAUUGGUAACCAUUUUCUAUGCCCAAUGUAACAAAUUUUGUGGCCAUUUUUCAACCUGUGACUAGGUGUAUCAUCGCCGCAUAUUGGACAAGCUUUAUAUCCUUUAACAACACAACCAGAUAAGUUUCCAUAGGCGGGGAAAUCAUUAAUUGUCCACAUUAAUGCAGCUCUGAGUGUAAAGUAUUCUCCAUUAUGUGCAUCAUACACUCCUCUAAUCCCAACCCACAAGGAUUUUAAAUCAUCAAUCAAAGGCUCCAAGUAGACGUCUAUAUCAUUUCCGGGUUGUUUAGGACCGGAAAUCAAUAAGGUUAACAUCAUGAACUUUCGUUUCAUGCACAGCCAUGGAGGGAGAUUAUAUGUAACUAAGAUAACCGGCCAACAACUAUAUCUGCUACUUAGAGAACUGUGGGGAUUGAAUCCAUCAGAUGAAAGAGCCAAUCUCAAGUUUCUCGGCUCAUUACCAAACUCAGGCCAUUUAUCAUCAAGAAGUUUCCAAGACGGGGAAUCCGCCGGAUGAGACAUCUGACCGUCAAUUGAUUUUCUAGCAACAUGCCACCAAGUCAAACUCUUAGCUGUCUCAUGUGAUUGAAACAUCCUUUUAAACCUUGGAAUUGGGGGAAAAUACCACACCACCUUCGCUGGCACACCCUCUUUCAAGAUUGCAUCUUUGCCUUCCUUCCACCUUGAGAUACCACAAGUAGGACAAUUAGUUGAAUCCUCAUACUCCUUCCUAUACAAGAUGCAAUCAUUGGGGCAUGCGUGCAUUUUCUCAUAACUCAGCCCCAAUGCACACAAAGUCUUUUUAGCCUCAUACAUGGAGGUUGGUAUUGUAUUUCCUUCUGGAAGCAAAUCGCCUUGAAGUAUCAAUAAUUCUGUAAAACAGACAUCACUCAUCCCAUGUUUUGCCUUCAAAUUAUACAACUUCACUAAUGCCGAUAACUUCGUGUACUUUCUACAACCAGGGUACACUGGUUGAUCUCCAUCCCCAAUCACAUUGGCAAACUCAUACGGAUCCGAACCAAAAUCACCAAAAUCAUUAUCAUCCAUAUCAAUUUCUUCAGACACAAAACUGUACCUACUAUGGCCAUCAUCUUCUUCAACAUUUCUGCUAGCAUUAGUAGUUGCUUCCCAAGGUUCUCCGUGAAAUGUCCAAUUCUUAUAGCUUUGGUCAAUUCCAUUAAAGUAUAAGUGAUCCCUUAUAAUUCCAACCCCAAACAACUUCAAAUUAACACAUUUAACACAUGGACAACGGAUAUGUGUUGUAGUUAGAAGAUUUUCUACAGCAAAGUUCAAAAAUGCUUCCACCCCAAACUCAUAUGCCUUCGAUCUUCUAUCCGAGUGCAUCCAUGACUUAUCCAUCUCCGACACUAUAACCUAUUAUCUAUAAUAAAGUGAAAAUACAGGCAAUGACCAUCACUAUAGCAGAUUAUACAAUGAUCUAAUCGCAAGUAAUAAACAACAGAGACGACGGGUUUUAAUCAAAAACAGACGUAUUUGGCAUAUAUAGACGACGGAUUUUCAACAGACGUCGUCUAUUAUACGUAAUACAAACGACGGUUUAUGAAAAAACCGUCGUGUAUAAGUAAUACAACGACGGUAGUUUAAAAACACCGUCGUGUAAUCGUCGUCGUACGCCUUAAAAUUCGUCGUGUCUCAGUUUAUUUUCAAGAACACAAAACCCAUUAAGAACACAACAUAUAUAUGAAACCAAGCAAGAAACCAACAUAUACAUGAAACCAAGCAUGAAAACAAUAAAUCCAUUCCCAAUUCAACAUAACAUAGGGUGAUUAAAAGAUACGACAAAAUUAAAUCCAUUCCCAAUUCAACAUAACAGAUAAUGUAAUCCAUGAACCCAUUAAACAGAAAAUCCAUGAACCCAUACCUAUAAGCAUUGGUGCACUUUGCACCUUCUCCAGAGCGGAAAAUGACAAGAUCAAAUAAAGGUGUCCUUUUGCUGGAAAUCAUUUGGAAGUUGGUGAUGUGUCUUUUUGUGUUGAUUUCCAGCAAAAGUACACCUUUAUUUGAUCUUGUCAUGAACCCAUUAAACAGAAAAUCCAUGAACCCAUACCUAUAAGCACAUUAUUAACAGAUCGCAAAGCAUAUACCUAAAACCCUUUAACAAAACAACCUAAUAUCAUUCAAUGAAUUUACAAGGGGAAGAUAGGGUUUGUACUUACAGGUUGGACGAGCUCACAGAUUCGACGAGCCUGGAGAGUGCAACUUUUAAUUAGAGCAGAAGUGAGAGAGCGAAAUGUUAUGUCGCGUGAAAUCUGAAAUUUUAGGUUUCAGGGAUCAAAGUAUAAGAAUAAGAGCCAAAUCUAAAAAAAUUUAGGUCGCGCGAAAAUUUUUAGAGCGCGCGCGUUAUAAAACGUCGAAAGAAAAACCAAGGCGAAAGUUCUACAAGUACCGACGUAAAUUUAAUAUUCCACGACGGAAACUUCAUUUUUCGGAUUAAGAACGUAAGGCCGUUCAUUUUUCGGAUUAAUUUUAAAUUUAUUUUGAAUUUUUUAUAUAACGACGACUGAAAAACCACGUCGGUGUUAAGAAAUUAAAGACGUUGUAAAUUAUAUAAACCGACUUACAUAUUAAAAUAACGUCGUUUAAAGCGUAAACCAUGUCGUAUGUUUUACUGUACGACGUAAAAUAUGUAUUCCACGACCCAACCACCGUCGUUAAAAAUUAAUACACUAAACCCAUAAAAUUAAAUUAUACAAUUUAAAAAAUUAAGUUUAUAAAAGGUUUUAUGGUUUUAAAGCCUAACAUAUACCCUAGACUACCCAAAAAUUAUACUUUAAAAAUAAACCCCAAUAAAUAACAACCCUAAUCUCUAAACCCUAGACUCUAAACCCUAAACCAUAAAACUAGAAGUGAUUUUAUGACUCAUCAAAACAAUUUUGUUUUGGAUGGUCAUUUUAAAUUUUUGUUAUUCAAAAUGAAUUUUUUCAAGGUUUAUGUGGAAGAAAAUAUAUCAAUGACUUCAUAGGAGUUGACUUUUCAAUUUUCUGAUUUAUUUUAUAUUUAUUUUGAAUAUUUUGAUAUAAAAAUAAUAAAAUAUUCUUACCAUACAACAAACCACGUCGGUGUUAAAUAAAUUGUAGACGUUGUAAAUUGUAAUAGACUACUAAGUCGUUAAAAUGACGUCGUUAAAAUGAGAAACCAUGGCGGCUAUUUAACUAUACGACGUAAAAUAUAUAUUUUACGACUUAACCGCAGUCGUUACAUAAACGUCGUCGAUUAUACCCUGAACCCUUAAGAAAUUGAAGAUAUUGUAAACCAUUAACGACUCAAUUGUUCAAAGAACGUCGUCUAACUAUUUUUUUACGUUGUAUUUGUUUAAAACACGCAACAACAAAAUACGACGGUUAUUGACUUUAUUAGGUCGUUGGAAAAGUAUUACACGUCGGUUAAGCAAUUUCUAUGUUUGUUUUUUUUUUUAAUUUAAGAAAACCUCAACAAAUUUUUACAUUACAUAUUAUAGAGAAAAUUGGUACAUUAUACAUAAAUAUCAAGUGUUCAAUAAUUGCCCUGUUUAAUAAUUUGGAAAACAAACUCUGCCCAUUUAUUCCGGACUUCAUCAAUGGCUUCUUGGGGGUAUGAAGCUUCCUGGUUUCCCUUGGCAUACUGCAUAAACAAUGACUAUUAGGGUUUAUAAAUAAAAAGAAAUUCAAUCACAGACGACGAUAUUUUUCAUAACCGACGUAGUAUAUCCAUUCAACGACGUUAAUUUUACACGACCGUCGUUGAUAAUACAAAAAACGACGUGAAAUGUAUGAAGGUAAUUUCUUCUUACCUUAUUCUCAAACCCCAAGGAAGGAUCCAUGAUGAUGUCCCUCAUGAAGCGCAUUACAUAAUACCCGCAUUCGACAUUGCUGGGUUGCUUUGGUGUGCCUGAGAGAGUUUUCCAAAUUACAUUUUUACGUCCUGCUCGGGCUAUGUGGGUAUUAUAUAUUUUUAAAGCACUGUUCACGAUGUUUUUGGCCUCUUCAUCGACCACACGAUUUCCUGGCAGAGGAUCCAGAAAAUAGACGGUUUCUCUCUUUGCUCUUACAAUCAGCAAAAUCCAAUGACGGCUGCACAAAAUUAAUAUAAAAACGACGGUUAUUUACAAAAACGACGUAUUAUAGUAUUUCACACGACGAAGUAAAGUAGCUAACGACGACAUUAUAUAUUUAUCACGACGAUAAAUAAAUACCGACGUGGUUAGUAGUUUCAAACGACUAAAUAAAAUAAAACACCGACGUGGUUAGUUUAUAAGCUGUCAUUUAUUGAAAAUCAUAAAAACAAAAUCCUAAGGAGACUAACCCUGGAUUGUAAGGCAUCAUGAAAAUCUGUUCACCGUCUGUCUUCUGAAGUCGAGCUGCUACCAGUCGUGAUCUUGCAGUUAUUGUGCCAGAGUUGGCACUAACUGUAGCAGGGUCGAUAAAGCCAACCAUACUGCACAUAAAGCCAACCAUACUGCACAUAUUGGCUUUUUUCAAAACAUCGUGUAAGUACCUAAACAAAUAAAAUAAUAUAAACAAGUCAGUAUAAAAAAACGACGUAUUAUAAUAUUUCACACGACGUACUGAAAUAGAUGAGGACGUUAUAAUAUAUUUAUCACGACGGUUGUUAGUUAAGACGACGUGGUUAGUUAGUUAAGACGACGCAAUAUAUAAACCAACGAGUUAUUAUUUUAGAAGUACAAACCUCAUAUAUACAGCCAAUACAGUAGCUCCAAUUUCUUCCAUGCCUGCAAAUUGUGUAAUAUCUUCAGGCAGGAGGAAGGUAUCGCGCUCACCACCAAACACCUCCUUAUCAAUUGUAAAUUGGACUGUCUUAUCCUCAGGCAGGAGUGUCGUUUCCACAAAACGACAAAGGGUUUUUAAAGAAGAUGGCGCCUCCAUUUUUGAAUAAGCACCAACUUCAAUAACCUGUUUAAAGAAAUAAAAAAAAUGACGUGGUAAUUCAAUAAAGACGACGGUUUAAGUAAUAAAACGUCGUCUUAAAAGUAUUUAAACGACGGUGAAAAAACUGUCGUGGUAAUUCAAUAAAGACGACGGUUUUAUGAAUAAAGCGUCGUCUGAAACCAUUUAAACGACGGUGAAAAAACCGUCGUUUAAAUAUUUUAUUACGUCUUAAAAAAAUUCCGCCGUCUAAGUUGUAAACAAACGACGGAUUAAAUAAAAAUAUCGACGUCUGAAAUUUUGAAAAACAAAUAAAAAAGGCAAAGUUAUGUUAACAUACCUUGUCGUCAUGCUUUUCUUCAUCUUCUUUCUCCUUUUCUUCUUCCUUCUCUUCAUCUCUUUUUUCUUCUUCCUUCUCUUCAUAUCUUUUUUCUUCUUCCUUCUCUUCAUCUCUCUUUUCUUCUUCAUUCUCUUCAUCUGGCUGAUGUUUCCCCAUUUUGGCAGUAUCAUCCUCCAAAUGUAGGGAUCUCACAUCACCUCCAGAGCAGCUAGCUUUGUCAGACAUUGGAUUUUUGGGGCUUUGGCUAAUUCUUGCUUUAAGCAUGCUUGGAUCAAAAUUGGGAAUUAAUUGGGAAAGCUGACUCAGGAAAUGCUCCCUCUCAGCCUCUACCAAUUGUUUUGUCCUAGCCUCCAUCCUUAAGGCCUCUUCCCUUGCCUUAGCCUCCAUCUUUUUAGUCUCUUCUUGAAGGAGAACUCUUAAACUGUCCUUCAAACGGUCGUCAAAGCUCACCCUCUGUGGUUUGGGCAAAUUGAAAUAUUGCCUUGGGGAAACACCAGCACCAACUCCCCUCACCCUGCCUGGAUGCUCGGGGCCCAAAGCCAUGGUCAGCACAUCAUUGCUGCCAUCUACUCUGACUUUGCCUUCCGAGACUUGUUUCUGCAAUUCAUCCUAAAAAAAGAUAAACAAAAAAACACACGACGGUUAUUUAUGUACAAACGACGUAUUAUAUAAUUUCACACGACGCAAUAACAUAUAAAACGACGUUAUUAUAACUUAUCACGACGGUAGUUAUACCGACGUGGUUAUUUAUUUAAAACGACGAAAUGAAUAAACAACCGACGUCUUAUGCUAUAAUUAAAGAUAACAGAGUAGUGAUUCCUAUUUAGACCGUUAACGACGUUUUUAAAAAAUUUUCGACGUGGUAAUAUCAUUCACACGACGCGAAAAUGAACCACCGACGUCUUAUGCUGUAAUUACAGAAAACAUAGUAGUGAUUCCUAUUUAGACCUUUAACGACGUUUUUAAAAACUUUUCGACGUGGUAAUAUCAUUCACACGACGAAAAAUAUAACAUACGACGUAAUAAGAAUAAUUCACAGUUUAAUAAAAAUUUAAAACAGAGUGAUAGUAGGCUUACAAUUAAUUUUGCUUUCUCUGCCACCUUUGGAUCAGGGAUGUUACCAUGUUUGUCCUGUCUAGCUCUCUUCCAUAAGGUAGAUCGAUCAAUUUCUACCCCAGGCAUGGUUUCCUCCAAUUGAUCCUCCAAUCCAGCAUAUCCUUUUCGAGACAAUCGAUGAUUGUACUCGAGUUUCUCCCUAAUCUGUGAAUGUUGAGAAUGCACAGACUGAAAAUCUUUGGAUAGCCUUGAAGCUACAAAGGCAUCCCAUUGUGCUUUCUCUAUGAAUUUAUAUGUUUCAGGGGGUUGGCUUAAUUUCUCCCUGUCAUUGGUGUAUGGAAGGAUAUAAUGCCUCGUUAGUGUAGACUUGAAAUCCUUCCAUUUCUUGGAAGCAGAAGCUAAAACAGAGGUCUUGCCCCCUUGGCCUACGACAAAAGCCAUGUCAACUGCUUCCCAAAUCUGCUCCUUUAUAUCCUUUGGGAUUUGGGACCAUUUCUUGUCCACAAGUGGGAUCCUGGAGCGUGCCAAGACACCAAUAUACGACUGCAUCUCAAUAUGUGCUUGGCCAACACCUUUCCCCCUUUUAUUGUACUCAACAAUUGGCCUCAGUUUCUGAAGCUUUCUCUUCACAACACGAGGCAUUGUGCUCAUACCUCGACCAGUCUUUGAAUCAUCUGAGAUUGUUGUCUGGCUGGUUUGUUCUGUCUCAGCAGAUGAUGCAGCAAACUUCAUCUUCUUCGAAGACUUCAUCUCCUUCGAAGACUUAUCUUGAGGAGCUACCAUUCCAAGCUUCUUGGAGCCAGAAUCCUUAGUUUGUUGUUGAGAAACCAUUUUAACAGACAAAACUGCAAGUGAAAAUAUUUCAGGAAAACAUUAAGAACACAAACGACGGUAUUAAAAAAAUACGACGUAUGAUAUGAUUUUAGACGACGCAAUGAAAUAAUCUCAGACGUAAUAAAUGUUUAAAACCAUUAUUUAUAUAACGUCGUGGUAUAUAUGUUCACACGACGUCAAUAGUAAUACACCGUCGUGGUAAACUAUUAUUUAUAUAACGUCGUGGUAUUUAUGUUCAUACGACGUCAAUAGUAAUACACCGUCGUGGUAUUAACAUUCACACGACGUAAAACAAUAAGAUAUUUUGUCGUCUAUAUUAGAUACCAACCCUAGUUUCUUUUUCUUUAUAUUUUAUCAAAUAAGGGAAAAACAAAAACCAUUGUUCAGCGAAAUCAAACCUGCAAUUAAACAAGCAUAUAAAAAAAGACUAUUAUUUUAAAAACAACUUUGUCAAUUUUCAGACGACGCUAGAACAACUGACGAACCGUCGUGGUCUACCGUCGUCUUAUUUAGUUGAUGUAGUUGUCUUCAAAGUUGGAAACUUUCUCUCUUUGUCUGUAUAUUUUAUCAAACUUGGAAAGAAGUAAAAUGAUUUUGGCCAGAAAAAAGGUAAAAAGAUUUUUCAAACAAAAAACGUAUGAGCAUGCAAAACAGUAACCAAAAUAGUGAAAAUGAAAGCUUACCUUUUGCGUGCAAUGAAAGCAAGAGGAAGAUGAUCGAUGUUUAAGUUCAGAGACGACGAAGAAGACGAGAGGAAGACGAUGAGAAACUCUGACAAUGCUCUGACAAGGAAAAAAGACGAAAAGGUUUCUCUGGGAGAUUGAAAUUUUUAAUCGGGUUUGGAAACAGUGCAUGUGUAAGUCGAAAAGUUGCUUACAUAUAAAACCAUUUCAAAAAAAUAAUACGGCGGUUACAUUUAACUACGUCGUUUUUAACUAAAACGACGCAAUAUUUUUCAUUCGACGUGGAAUCAUUUCAUUUAACGUCGUUAGGUUUAAUAUAACCGACGUGGAUUUUAAUUUUUAAAUUAUGAAUAGAAUUUUUUUUCCCGUGACCUUUCAGUUUAUUUUUCAAUUACAGUGCGUUAUAAAUAGAGUUUUUUUUCCGGAGGAAAUUUAAAACGAAGGAAAUUAAUAUUCUGCAAUAUGUAAAGUUUCUUUUUUGGAUGACAGAUUUAAAUAAAAUAAGAAUAUAAAAACAACAAAUGUGUAAGUCAAGUAGACGAAAAGUUGCUUACAUAUAAAACCAUUUCAAAAAAAUAAUAUGGCGGUUACAUAUAACUACGACGUAUAAAUUACAAAAUACGACGGUACAUUUAACUUCGGACGUGGUAAAUAAAUACGACAGUAGUUUGUAGGUACCGUCGUAGUAAACUCAAAAAUUAAAGUACAUAAGUAAUAACUCGCGUCAUGGUAUAUUAUUUAACACGUCGUUUUUAUUAAUUUACCGACGUGGAUUUCUGUAAUAUACGUCGAUCAUACCGACGUUGAUUUUACAAUUUAAACGGCGGUUUUUUUGUAAGGACCGCCGUUGGUUUUAAAAAUUUAUUCUAUAAAUUUGUCGCUUUCAUUCAUUUUCGGUUUACAUUUAAGGUUCCAAGUUCUUCCUCUCUCAGUCUCUCAUGUCUCAAAGAUAAUAAUUUGGAUGUUUUCUCAAAGAGAAAUUGAGCUUACUCGCAUCAAAUAUAUGUCCACAAGAAGAAGCUUGUCAACUAGCCUUCUCACUUCCUUGAUCAAGCCUGAUAGGACACUUAGUGCUUCUGAAUACUCCUUGCUUUCCAUCAAAAGAGAUGCAAGUCUGGCCUCCACUCGCUGUCGAAGGAAAGUUCGCUUCUCAGGGAAAUCUGAAGAUCAGAUGUGCCUGAUCCUCUGCUUGAUUUUCUUGCCUAAGAAGAUCCGUCGGAUUUAUUGUGAUAGCCUCUUCCUUUAUCCGUAGAGCUUCAGAAGAAGAAGAUGGGUUUCAAGAAUGCGAUAAAGAAUAGAAAUGGCUUCAGAUGGCCUCUAAAGCAUGAGCAAUUGAAUCAGUAGUUUCUGGGAGAUAUGAUGAAGACAUUGUCAAUGCUUUGAACUACACAAGUCCUGCAGAAAGAUAUGUUAAAGAAACUGAAACAACGGCGGUUUUCUGUUCUACCGUCGUCUUUUCUCGUCGUCUAUAUUAAGUUACGAUGGCGGUAGAUUUAUAAUUACCGACGUAGAUUAUUUUGUUAAACGUCGUUAAGUGUACUACAACCGACGUGGAUUUUAAUUUUAAAUUAUAAAUGGAGUUUUUUUUCCCGUAUUCUUUCAGUUUUAGUUUUCAAUUCCAAAGCGUGAUAAAUAGAUUUUUCUUUCCCGAGGAAAUUUAAAAUGAGGGAAAUUAAUGUUCUAGAAUUUGUAAACUAACACGACGCAAUAUUUGCAAAUCUGUGUCAUCUGUUAAGAUUAUGAUGUGGAACAGAGUUCCAUCUGGUAAGAUUUCGUAACCCUUGGGAUCUCAGACAAAACUGAUUAUGUCGGCGGUGUUCUAUAUAAACCGUCGUGGUUAUUUCAAUUCUUGUCAUUAAGUAGAUCUACCGACGUAGGAUAAGAAAAUCAAAGAAAAAAAUUGUUAACAAAAAUUCUUAUUAAGACGACCGUUAAAAUUAAAGGUACGACGUAUAAAAUGAAUAAAUACGACGAUAAAUUUUAUUGUACGAUUUAAAGAUAACGUAGUAGAACUAUACGAGAAUGACGUCGAUAUAUUUAUAUUUUCCGUCGUUGUAAAUUAAUUUAAUACGGCGAUAUUUUGUAUUUUAAAGCCGUGGAUUUGUUUGUAAUUAUACGGCGUCUUAUACGAAAACCUCGUCGUCUUAUUUUAUGAGUAAAAACGGCAGUUUUUAUUGAAAUCGUCGUCUUUACUUUCUACGUCGGUCGAUUCAUAACUUCUGCCGUUCUUUGUUGGCAUUGAUUUUACACUGCGGAAAUCUGUUUCAAAUAGACGUCGGUUGUUUAAUUAUGUACGUCGUUGUUUUUGAACAGCCAUUUGAAACUCCAUUUUUUAGUUGUCUAAGGUUGUAUUACACGACGGUGUUUUUAGAACCGUCGUCUUUUUAUAAACCACGACGGUUUUCACUUAGACCGUCGUUGUUUUCUGGUCGUCUUUUUCACUUUUUGUAGUAGUGAUACCACUUACUAGAAGUUAACAACUACAUCAUUUCAUUUACAUAAUAGGUAGGAUAAAAGUGUACAACUCCAUACCAUUCAAAAUCAAUACACAAACAAGAAGAAGAAGUUGCAUUUGAAUCAACAAACAAACCCUAAAUGGAUAAUACUAGAAAAAACCGUGAAUAUGGAGCUCAAACCUGAUUAAACUUUAAAAGCUGAUAAACAACAUCAUCUCUAACCAGUGCCUCUCCAACAAACAAGACAAGAUUUGAAUUGUUAAGAUUGACUAGCUUUGACAGUGCCCUCAUUAACAAUUCAUUAUCAUGAAAGGCAUAAUAUAAUAUAUUUUCACAUUAUAUAUAUAACUAACAGUAGCUUAGCAUGUACACUGAAAAAGGAAUUUUAACUUAUAGGUCUCAACCCUCAUUAAUGGCAAAACCAAGCUAGAUAACUUAUAGGUCUCAACCCACUGAAACAGGAAUUUUAACAAGUAAACAACAUUAUUAUCCUUCUGUAAUAGCAAAAGCAGUGGUAAGAUUGAAACAAAAAUUGCUAACUAACAGUAGCUUAGCAUGUACAUCAUACAAACUGUAAACGUUUGUGCAAAUGCUCAACCAUUCUACUAAAUACUAAAAACACAUUACCAUCAUUACAAAUCAUAUUAGAACUAACACAAAUAAGCAAGCAAGUAAUUUCAGGUUUUUUUUAUAUCAAUUUAUUUAUCGCAAUUUGUAAACAAAAUGCAAAACUAAGGAAAAAAAAACCGUAGACAUAUUCAAAUUAAUCACAAAAUCGCAAAGAAACUGCUCAACAAGCUUCGAAUUUCAGCGAUAAUCAAACCGGAUCAUACCAAUAUGAUUCGGCUGACCUUGAAAUGGUAUCUUCGUUCUUCUUAAGCUCAUCCUUGUGAGCGAUCUCUCAGAUCUGGUGCAGUAUGUGGCCAUGAGCGUUUGGACAAAAUUACGACUCAGAAGUUGUGGGCGUGGAUGAUGUAUCUCCUUCAAAGUGAAAGAAGCGACAAGGAAGAUGACGAACCUAAGUCUUGGAAGAAGAACCGAUAAGAGCAUUGCCUAGAGCACCGAAAGGAUUGGCGGAAGAAGAUGAGCCUGGAGUCGGACAAGCUGCUCCAUGAGUCAUAAGCUUAUGCAUCGCCAUGGUCAAUACUCUUCUUCUUCUUAUUCCUCUUCAAUCUACAACAUAAUUGUUAUUAAAUAAAAGAUUAUAAAAUAAUAAUAAAAAAUAAGUCGUCUGUUUCUCAAAAUUGCACCCAAAAGGGCAAAAUUGUAAUAUAAUAUAAAUGUUGAAUUGAAAAAAUCAACAGCUGUUGAUUUUUAGGUUUAUUUUGGGUGUAUUUAUAAACAUUAAAUACUAUAGAGUUUAUUUAUAGUUUUAUGUUUAGGAGAAUGGGUAUUUAACUAAUUUUCUUUAAAAAUAAGAUUAAUUGAUAAAUCCCAUCGAUUGGAAAAGUUCAUUGAAACUAAAAUUAUUUCGAGAAUCUUAUUUGAAAACUUAAUAAAACGUUUGGGAUUACCUACCCAACCAUUGAGGAAUUGGGUUUUUAAUAUAUAUAUUUUUCCUUUUAUCAAUUAAGAAAUAAUUAAAACAGUUGAAAAUGGAGUGCAAGUUAGAAAAUUAAGUAUAAAAAAAAAAAAUAUAUAAAAGUAAAGUAAAAAGAAAUUAAUAUAAAGUAAGAGUAGAAUAGGAAAGAGAAAGAAUAAAAAAGAACAAAAUUGAUUAAAAAAUAUUAAAAAAUAAAAAAGAGUGUAAAUGGACAAAAGAUAAGUAGGAAAAAAAAAAAAAACCUCUAGAAACUAUAUUUGGAGUAACAUACGAAAAAUUGUGUAAAAUAGGACUAUUAAUAUUAUAUAUUCAAAAAUAAAAUAAAAUAUAACAUACAAAAUCCAAAAAAAAUAAAUUAAAAAAAGAAAGGAAACACAUGCACUAAUAUCAUUAGUGUGGGUACAAUGUAUGCGUGGAUAAGGUUUGUGUAUGAGAGAGGUAGCAAAAUUGUGUAUUGUAGAGAAACAAAAAAAAAAAGUCGUGUCAUAAUUACAACUAUCCAUAUUACACUUCAAUUUCAACUUAAAUUAUCAUUCAACUUAAUUAAAUUCAAUAGAAAUUUAGUUAUAUACCCAAUCUUAGACAUGGUUUUAUAAAGAAACCCUACACCGUUUAAAAACUAUAAACACACCCAAAAAAAAUCCAAAAAUUGACAGCUAUCAAUUUUUUUUAAUUUAAUAGUUGUUUUUUAGUUUAUUUGUGUGUGUUAAAUACCUAUAUUGUCCUUGUACUAUGGAUUUAAGAGAGGAAAAUUAGAUCUGCCCAAAUCUGCCAUAAAACCAAAUAUUUCCAUGUCUGCCAAAAAACCAAAUCUGCCAAAAAAACCAAAUCUGCCAAAAAAUCAAAUCAUAUUUAUUUUCUCCUUUCUCGCUGGUGUUUUCUCUGGUGUUGGAGCAAGAGGAGCUUCCAUUGAAGCUUAGUCUCAGGUCCACUAUAUUAUUCAUCUUUAAUCUACAAUUUUCAAUAUUUCACCUUCAAUUUCUUGUUCUAAAAUCGUGCUUCUAUUGAUUUUUUCUUUUUUCGGAUUGUUCAAGACCUUGAAAAAACCUCGAUCAGAUGCUUUUAGCUCUGCUCCUCAUCUUCGAGCUCUACUCCUCUUUCGCCACAUCAUUGUCGUUGUUAUCGUCGUCGCCGUCGUCGUCGUCGUUUGGUUUGUACUUGAGAUUUUUGAUCUUUUGCUUCAAUUAUGUGUUUCUCUUCGGAUUUUAGUUGAUUUUCGAAAUGUAUUUGAAGCUUUGAUGAUCGAUUCAACUAUUGUUACUAUUUCAGUUAUGAAUCUCAUUUUUGUUUAACAAUGUACUUCUGUGAUAGGGUAUUAACAAUGUACUUCUAUGACAGAGUAUUAACAAUAUACUUCUAUGACAUAAUAGUAUUAACAAUCUGGGCUCAGCUUGUUUUGAGUUGGUCUGGUUUGUUCUUUCUUCAUCUUUUCUUUGGUGGACAUGUAUUAGAAAUAGCAACAUGAUAAACAUUAAUCAACAUGACAGUAAACUAGCAGUGUUAUUACCCUAGACUAGAACAUUACAGGGGUAAACAUGCAUUAGAAAUAGGAUGUCAUAGGAAAUAGCAGUGCUAUUACCCUAGACUAGAACAUUAUAGGGGUAGAUAUGCAUUAGAAAUAGAAUAUCAUAGGAAACAAGCAGUGUUAUUACCCUAGACUGGAACAUUACAAGAGUAAACAUGCAUUAGAGAUAGGAUGUCAUAUGAAACUAGUAUUGUUAUUACCCUAAACUAGAACAUUACAACCAUUAAUCAGCAUGACAAUAAACUAGCAAUAUUAUUACCCUAGAUUGGAACAUCAGCCAUUAAUCAACAUGACAAUAAACUAGCAAUGUUAUUACCUUAGACUGAAACAUUACAUGGGUAGACAUGCAUUAGAAAUAGGAUAUCAUAGGAAACUAGCAGUGUUAUUACCCUACACUGGAACAGUACAGGGGUAAACAUGCAUUAGAAAUAGGAUGUUAUAGGAAAUUAGCAGUGUUAUUACUCUACACUGGAACAUUACAACCAUUAAUCAACAUGACAUAGCAGUGUUAUUACCCUAAACUGGAACAUUACAACAAUUAAUCAACAUGACAAUAAAGGUGUAGAACAUUACAAUGAUUAAUUAACAUGACACGUUAAUGAAACUACGGUUUUCAAGACCUUUUGUUUGUAAUGAAUUGUUUGGGUUUUUUUAUAAAAUUGGGUUGGGCUUGUUUUGGGUGCUAUUUAAGUUUUUUGUGUUGGUCUUCUUUUUUAAAUUGAUCAAUGACAGUCAUGUAAUUUAUAAGAACUUAAACACUAAUUUUUUAUGUAGUAAAUGAGUUUUGGGUGUGUUUCUAAAGUGCAAUCCAUGUGGGGUUUUUUUUUAUAAUUUCACUCAAAUUCAUUUCAAUUUAAUUUGAGAAAAAUAAUAAAAUAAUAUAUUUUUCUUAGAGAAAAUGGGGUAAAAAUUAAUGAAACUAAUACAGCAUAGUGUUUUCAUCAACAAUUCAUCAUCAAGAUAAAUGUCCACACUCAAUUGGAAAACGAAAAAAACUUGUGCAAGAAAGGGAUAUGUGGCUGUACAUACAUACAGCUGCUAAAUUACAACUGCCAUGCUACUUUAAUAGACUAAUCUAACUUAACUUAAUAUUAUUUAAUUAGUUAUUUGUACAUUAAAACUUUUUAAUUGUUAUAUUAUAUUAUGUUAUAAAUAUUUAUUAAUUUAAAAUAAAUAUAUCAUUUAUCGAGCCGAAUUCAAAAAUGAGGAUAACAAUACUAUCCUAUCCUAAUCAGAUUAUUUUAAAAUUGAGAUCCCCAUGCCCGCUCCCAUUUUCCCCGUGCCCACUUUUUCAGCAAUAAUAGACCCAUACAAGAUGGUAUCUACUUUUCCGAAUUUUCAGAGCAAUCAUAGAACCAUAGCAAGAUUUCUAAGCAAUAGUUGAUCAUCUCUCUCUUCUAGUAUAUCUGAGCUGAGCCCCAAUCCACCACCACACAAUCGAAUCUUAUCUUCUCACAUGUAUUUUGAUUUUUAAAUUUUGUGUUUCAUCUGGUUGAUUGCUCCCCAGAAUUAAUCCUAGAUGUGUUGUUUUGAUUAAGCUAGCAUAUACCAAAAUAAGGCCAUUACGGCGUCAGUUUCCGCAGACCUUUUCAUUGGCAAAUUUGUAGCAAUUCUCGAGAGUGAAGCAGCCUCCAUAGCGGGUGUUGCUGAUCAAGUUGAUGAGAUUAAGCGGGAGCUGGAAUUCAUGAAGGCCUUCUUAGCGGAUGCUGACGAGGGCAACAAAGCACACACACAAGUAAACGAGGUGUGGAUCAGAAGCGUUCUAGACUCGGCCAAAGAUGUUGAAAACAUCAUGGAUGAAUUCAUGUAUCACGUGUACGAGCAGCAAAUUGGCCGUCGAUUUGCCAAGUGGAUACACAAAACCAUUCACUUUCCAAAGCACCUUUUGUAUAAGCGUAAAAUAGCCAACAAGUUACAGAAAAUCGCGAUGGCAAUUAGAGCUAUUACAGAGCGAAAUCAGAGAUAUGGUUGUGGUGCAGCUGUAGAAGGAAAAAGUACUUCUUCUGAGGAUAUUCGCAGAUGGGUGCAGAAUCAAGCAGAGUCUUCUCUUUAUCAUAAGGAGGAUUGAAGUGUUGGCGUGACUUGUGGAUAUUGACUUACUUUCCUUACACACCAAGAAUUCCUAUUAUAAUUGUAAUUGAUUUACUUUAAUUCAUGAUUUCCUACUGUAAAUGGAUUUAGGAAUUUAUUAUUUACUUGCCCAUUCAGGUUUUGUUGUAUUAUAAAUAUAAUCUCCUACAAGGAGAAGAAUACACAGAAAAUUCCCACAAACAAAUAUUCUCUCAUAGUUUUCAUAUUUUAGCAUGAAGGUGAUAAGAACUUGUUAAUGGGAUCGCUGACGAACGAAGAGCAAUGCCAAACUGUUGUGUCUGUGGUCGGGAUGGGAGGAUCGGGGAAGACAACUCUAGUUGCAAGGACUUUCAAAGAUGAAAUUGUAAAGAGACAUUUCGAAUGCUAUGCGUGGAUUACUGUUUCCCAGUCUUAUGUGAUUGAAGACUUACUUAGAAGAUUGAUCAAAGAAUUCCACAAAGCAAAGAAGGAAGAGGUCCCUGCAGACAUGAAUGCCAUGAGUUAUAACGAAUUGCUGGAGAUUUUGGUGAACUACUUGGAGACUAAAACGUACCUAGUUGUAUUGGAUAAUGUGUGGGAUGUCCACCUUUGGGAGAAAAUAAGGUUUUCAUUUCUAGAUAAACAACUUGGAAGUCGAGUCAUGCUUACAACUCGAAGAGAAGACAUAGCAUCCUCUUCUUUUGGAGUUGAAAGCCGUGUUCACAAGAUUCAACCGCUGGAAAAAGGUGAUGCUUGGGAGCUCUUCAGGAUGAAAGCAUUCUCUGUUAGUGUUUGAAUUCUUAGCUGGGUUUCUAUGGAAGGUUUGAGUAGAGAGGAAAACACAGAGAGAAUAGAGGAAGAUUCAAGCUAUAUGUGUAAUGCUCUGUUACUCUCAAAGUCUGAGAGUGAGUGUAUAUAUUUUUAUCAAAAUUCACGCACAAAGGCAUGAGUACACAACCGUUAGCUUUAGCUGUACACACACAAUCAACAAUACAAUCUCAGCCUUACACUUGUCAUAAUCUAGACUAAGUGAAUACACAAUUUAAAACAAGGCUUAUUUACUCUAACUUUACUUAGCUCACAGCUUAUACACUAAUACUCCCCUUUAAGCUUUGAGCUGAUACAACUCCAAGCUUAUCUCUGAGAUAGUUGAAUCUAUCUUUUGGUAAGGCCUUUGUAAAAAUGUCUGCUACUUGUUCUUUGGUUGGGCAGUAUACCAAAUCAACAAUUCCUUGCUGCAAGGCAUCUUUUGUGAAAUGAUAUCUUCUGUCAAUGUGUUUAGUCCUCUGGUGAAACACAGGAUUUUUAGAUAUGGAGAUUGCAGAUGUAUUGUCACACUGCAAAGGGGUUGCUUCAGCUGGUAACUCUCCAAAAUCUUCAAGAACAAACCUGAGCCAUAUUGCUUGAGUUGUUGCUUCAGCAGCACUUAUAUACUCAGCCUCUGCAGUGGAAAGUGCAACACAAUUCUGUUUCACAGAAGCCCAUGAGAACACUCCACUACCAAAGGAAAACGCAUAGCCUGAGGUACUCUUGCUGUCAUCUACUGAUCCCCCCCAGUCACUAUCACAAAAGCCAACUAAAACUGCCUUCUUGCCUUUCAUAUAAUGUAAACCAUAGUCCAAUGUUCCUUUGACAUAUCUGAGCACUCUCUUAGCUGCUCCAUAGUGCUUGUUUGACGGUCCAUGCAUAUAUCUAGCUAACAGACUAGCUGCAUACAUCACAUCUGGCCUUGUAGCAGUAAGAUACAGUAAACUGCCUACAAGUUUUCUGUACUGCUCUUCAUCUGCAGCACCACUUCCAUCUUCUUUACUUAACUUUUCAGUAGCCACAAGAGGAAUAGAAACAGAUUUGCAUUCUUUCAAUCCAAACUUAUCCAACAAAGCAGAAGCAUACUUCUUUUGAUGAAUGAAAAUGCUAGAUUCUGUUUGAAUCACCCCCAUUCCCAGAAAAUGAUGAAGAAGACCCAAGUCUGACAUCUCAUACUUCUCCUUCAUAUCUUCUUUAAACUCCUCUAGCAUCUCUUGAUUGUUUCCAGUAUACACAAUGUCAUCCACAUAAAUGGAGACAAUUAGUAUAUCAUGUUCUCCCCUUGUUUUAGUGUAGAGAGUUGCUUCACUUAAGCUUUUCUCAAACCCACACUUAGCAAAAUAGCUAUCAAUCUCUCCAUACCAGGCCCUAGGUGCCUGUUUCAAGCCAUAAAGAGCCUUGUACAGUUUGUACACCUUAUCUUCCUUGCCAUUAAUCACAAACCCUUCAGGUUGAUCAACAUACACUUCUUCCUGCAAUAUUCCAUUUAAGAAAGCAGACUUAACAUCUAAUUGAAAUAGCUUCCAGCUUCUUUGUGCAGCAAGAGCAAUCAGUGUUCUGAUUGUAUCUAGUCUAGCAACUGGAGCAAAUGUUUCAUUAUAAUCAAUGCCUGGUUUCUGCACAUACCCUUUAGCAACCAGCCUUGCCUUGUUCUUCUGUACAGAGCCAUCUAAGUUCAACUUGGUUUUGAACACCCAUUUCACACCAAUAACCUGCUUAUCACUUGGUCUGUCUACAAGCUCCCAAGUCUUAUUUUUUUCAAUCAUGGACAGCUCUUCUUCCAUUGCUUUUAUCCAAGCCUUAUCCUGUGCAGCCUCUUCAUAUUUUUCAGGUUCCACAAUACAGAGAUUGCAUUGUGCUAGAAUGUCAUUUAUGUUUCUCCACUUUAAUGGAGUAUGAUCAUAGGGCUGAGAGAUAUCAGCAUGCUCAGGAAUGGCAUUCUCUUGUUCUUCAGCUUGAGAGAAAAUGCAAGGACUAGAAGGACUUCUCUCGACUUCAGUCAACUCAUGUGGAAUCACUUCAAUUCCAUUUUCAGGUUGCUUUGGAACAUAGGUCAUAGCAACAGAAUUUUCUGAAGUUUCCUUCCAGUUCCAAGACUUGGUUUCAUCAAAAACUACAUCCCUUGACAGAAUCAGCUUCUUAGUGCUUGGAUCAAAUACUCUGUACCCUUUCUCACAGGUUGCAUAACCCACAAACACACCUUGGACAGACUUUGCAUCAAGCUUUUGUCUUCUUUCAGUUGGUACAUGCACAUAACAGAGUGAUCCAAACACCUUUAAGUGACCAAUUCCUGGUUUUCUUCCACUAUAAGCUUCAAAAGGAGUCAUGUUAUCAAGGGCUUUUGUAGGUGUUCUGUUUAAAAUAUAGACAGCUGUAAGUACAGCUUCUGCCCAGAGAAAGUAUGGCAUGCCUUUAUCAUGAAGCAUUGCCUUUGCCAUCUCUACAACUGUUCUAUUCUUUCUCUCCACUACUCCAUUUUGUUGUGGAGUAUAAGCAAUAGAUAACUGUCUUUGUAUGCCUUCAGAUUCCAGCAAUUUGCUGAAUUCAGUUGAGAGAAAUUCUCCCCCUCUGUCACUCCUUAGGCAUUUCACUUUGAAUCCACAUUGUAACUCCACCAUUGCCUUGAACUUUCUGAAACAGAUUAGUGCCUCAGACUUGUGUCUUAGCAAAUAAACCCAUGACAUCCUUGUGUGAUCAUCAAUAAGCAACAUGAAAUAUUUAUUCCCAGCAAUUGAUUCAUUUUGCAUGGGACCACACAAAUCUGUGUGUAUCAAUUCUAGGGGAUUCUUAGCUCUCCAAGCUUGUUCUUUUGGAAACCAAUCUCUGUGUUGUUUUCCCAUUUGACAUCCUGCACAUACACCAUUUACAUCUUCAAGAUGUGGAAGACCAUGCACCAUUUCCUUUUCUCUAAGCUGCUUGAGACUUCUAAGGUUUAGAUGUCCUAGUCUCUUAUGCCAAAUCCAGGUACAUUCAGUCACACUAGCCUUCAAUGCAAUGUGAUCAGCUUGCAUUAGAGACAGAGGAUAGCAUCUGUUAUUUUUCAUCUUAACCUUGAUAACUAGACAGUCAAGUGAAGGACCAUCAAAGAUACAACACUCUCUUCCACCAAAUAGCAAGUAAUAUCCAUGUUCAUCCAUCUGUCCCACACUCAGCAAGUUUUCCUUCAAACCAGGUAGAAACAUGACUUCCUUGAUGCACUUUCUGCCAGAAUUUGUAUCAAUCAUAAGUGAACCUAUUCCAGCAACAUCUACCAGAUUUCCAGUGGGCAUUUGGACUUUUCCAGUGACAUUUGUCCUUACAUCCACAAGGAGCUCAGCAUUUCCAGUCAUGUGGUUGCUACAACCACUAUCAAUGUACCAAUUCCCACUCACUUUGAUCUCAGUAAUUGCACUGUUAGCAUAGAACAGAUUUCCUGUUACAUCUGCCUGAUUAGCACAGUUUGCCUUUUGAACAACCUUGUCUGCUGUGCAUUCUCUAGCCCAAUGUCCAAAUCUAUCACAGUUGUGACAUUUGGAUUGUCCCUUGUAUCGACAUUCUCCAAAAUGAAACUUAGAACACACCUUGCAUUGUGGCUUAACUGUAUCUUGUUUCAUAAAUCCUGCAGAGGUUGAAUUCUGUGCAGGAUUAGCAAAUGACUUUUGCUGAGACUGAGGCUUUGAAUCCCACUUCUUGCCCUUUCCAUUCCAGUUUUUCUUAGUUCCACUUGACUGAGAAUUACUCUUCUGUUGCUGACUUUUUGGAUUCACAGAAAAAGAACCAAAAGCUUUAUCAGUGGCAUCAACAGUGUGCAUAUCAAACCGUUGUUCCUGGCUCUUAAGAAUUGCCAGAACCUCCUGUAAUUCAACUUUGUCUAUACACUUCGUAUUCUCAAUCACAAGACAGAUGGGAUCAUAAGGUUUGCUAAGACUUAUUAAAACCUUUUGCACAAGCCUUUCAUUAGGCAAUACCUCACCAAACGUCUUCAUUUGAUUAAUUAGUUCAUUCAACCGUGUAAGAUACUCAGAUAACGUUUCAUCAUCACGCAUCCUAGUAUACUCAAAUUCACGUCGAAGAUUUUGGAGUUUAACUGAUCGUACCUGAUCACCACCGUGAUAUUCACCAUAUAGCAGAUCCCAUGCCAUCUUUGCUGUAUCAGCAUUGGCAAUUCGAGGGAAUAUUUGAUCCGAGACUGCAUUCUGGAUAAUACCCAGAGCUUUCGCAUCUCGCAUGUGUUCUGCCACAGUUUUCUCAUCAUCUUCCUCUUUUUCACUUCCUUCAGCCAUCAUCUUCUUUGAAUCAGAGAUCGUAACCCCCUUUUCAACUAAUUUCCAUAACCCAUGAGAUUUAAAGAUUGUCACCAUCUUGAUUCUCCAGAACUCGUAGUUCUCACCGGAGAAGAUCGGAGUUCUCACCUCAGAACCUCCAGAUCCAGCCAUCUCUAGGCUUAGAUGAUACGAAUCUCAAAAUCAAAAACGAUGGGGUUCAGCAAUUUCACCUGAACUAGAACGAGCUUGAGUGCAGCUCGAUUGCAGCAACGUCGCACAGUCUACGCCCAGAUCUCAGAUCGAACCUGGCUCUGAGGCCAUGUUAGUGUUUGAAUUCUUAGCUGGGUUUCUAUGGAAGGUUUGAGUAGAGAGGAAAACACAGAGAGAAUAGAGGAAGAUUCAAGCUAUAUGUGUAAUGCUCUGUUACUCUCAAAGUCUGAGAGUGAGUGUAUAUAUUUUUAUCAAAAUUCACACACAAAGGCAUGAGUACACAACCGUUAGCUUUAGCUGUACACACACAAUCAACAAUACAAUCUCAGCCUUACACUUGUCAUAAUCUAGACUAAGUGAAUACACAAUUUAAAACAAGGCUUAUUUACUCUAACUUUACUUAGCUCACAGCUUAUACACUAAUAUUCUCAAGUUAUCCAAACAAAUCUUGUUCAACAGAAAUUCUGCCGUUAGCUCGGGAACUUGUGGAGAAGUGUGAAGGCCUACCUCUUGCGAUCGUAGGCUUGAGUGGGCUUAUGUCUUCUAAGAAGUCACUUACAGAGUGGAGCACAGUCUACAGCAGCUUAAAUUGGCAUUUAACAAACAAUCCCUUACGCUUAAUGAUUUGGAAUAUUGCACUUGUGUUCAAGAAAUUAUCCUUUCAUGGAUGUAAAGCCAUAUAAAUUGUUUGUUAAUUACAAUAUUGCUUGUCUUUUUAUAUAUUUUGCAUAAACAAGUCCAGGUAUGUCGAUGUUGAGAAUUCACAGUAUCCCAUACAAUCUGGGAUUAGUUGGGAAACUAUUUCAUUGUUGUAAUUUGUAAUUGAUUCUGUACUCUUAGCUAAAGAUAAAUGAUAAUUUUCUUCUGUUGCCUAUGUUUACUUCUAUAAACUUUUUCAUUUGUAUGAUUCAAACUCUAAAGAGGGGGGAUUAAAAUGAAUAUCUACAAGCUCUAAUAUGAGGUUUUAUAAUUUUGCUUCACAAGUGGAAUGCAUUCACAAAUUUUUAAGAAGCUCACACAAAGCAUGGUUUGAUUGGCAGAUUGAAAAGCUUCACAAGUGGAGAUGUUGUCACGUCUCAGAUAUCCUCGGAUCUAUAUAAUUUAGAAUUAUGGUGGAGGUAUGGGUGCAAAGGAAGUCUGGGACCAUUUGUUAGAUAGGGACUGUGUAUAAGUUUUGGUCCUAUUUUCUGUAGGAUUUUUACAGAUAGUUGAGGGUGUUCUGUUGUAAGAUUGUACUGUUUUGAUGAAUAAUCUUUUUUAUCUGUUUCUUAUUCAGGAGUAGUAGAUCAUGAUUUUUGACAUGUUCGUUUAUUAAAACUUUGAAGGGUUGUGAAGAUAAGCAAACAAUUUAUUUCUAUUUUUACUGAAAUUAUCUGUUUGGUGAUUGAUUGUUGACUGAUACAAGUGUAUUUUUGGGUCAGCUCAUUUUUGGCUUUGAGUUUAGACCUGACCUGACACGAGAAUUGAUGCCAACUCAAUUUGGCCCAAGGGUCGCACAAAAUUAGACCUGACCCAAACCGUGCCCAGACUUAUAUUUUGUAAUAAAAACCUAGUCAUUUAUUAAUGACAAUUAUGAAAUGAACAAGUUUUAUUUAUUUCCGCCAAUUUUUCAUUUCACAUUUCAUUCAAUUAUCAUAGAUGGGAAGAAUAGACAAAAAUGAACCAACAUAUUUACAUCAACUACUCAAAAAGUCAAGUAAAAGUUCUAUCCAUCUCUCCUUUGAUCCCAGGAUAUGUUUGUAUUGCUUGUGAAUACCACAUAGUUGGAUAGAACUUCUUUAAUCAUUUGCCAUUGAUUGGCACAACAUGGGCUUCUCCAUCUUGAUCUUGUAACCUAUACACCCCUAAUCCAGGGAUUUGUUUAAUUACAAAAGGGCCUUUCCAAGUGGGUGACCAAUUUCCAUAACCAGCCACGUGGGCUCCAACGAGCAAAAUUGCUCUCCAGACAAUCUCUCACUCUUCAAAGCUCUUGUUUUUAACUCUUUUAUUAUAAGCUCUUUCCACAACUUCUUUUCUUGCUAAGAGUUUGUUGAGGGUAUCAAUUCUAAUUGUAUUCAAUCCUUCCAAUUCUAGCAGUAUUGCUUGUGAAUAGUCUUCUCCAACUAAGUUAUGCUGCUGGGCAAUUCUGAUGGAUUGGACUGUGGUUUCCAUGGGCAGAAUCGCGUCAUGUCCAUAGGUUAGAGCAUAUGGGGUCAUGCCAAUUGCCUCUCUAUUUGAAGUUCUAUAGGCCCAUAAGGUUUCCGACAAUUUUUCGUGCCAUUGCCUUGGAUUUUCCUCAAGCAUUUUCCUGAUGAUAUUAAUGACCAUCUUGUUGCUUGAUUUUGCCUCUCCAUUUGCCUAAGCAUAGUGAGGAGUGGACUGGAGUAACCUGAUCUUGAGCCUACUUGCCAUAUUUUGCAUCUCUCUGGAUAUGAAAAAAUUCCCUCUAUCAGUUGUGAUUGAUUCUGGUAUGCCAAACUUAUGCACAAUCUGUUCUUCAUUGAAAGUGAUGAUCUCUUGAGAUGUGGUGGAUUUGACCAAUUUAGCCUCCACCCAUUUAGUGAAGUAAUCUAUAGCCACAAUGAUGAAACAGUGAUGUUUGCUGCUGGCUAGAUAGAUUUUGCUAAUGAGGUCCAUUGCCCAUCCCCUGAAUGGUCAUGGCUUAACGACUAGAUUCAUGGGGACUAAGGGAGCUUGCUAGAUUGGUCCAUGUCUUUGGCAAUAUUCUAUGCACUCCUUCAUCAUGGUAGGCCAGAAAUAACCUUACCUUCUGAUCAGCUAGCACAUUUUCCUUCCAUCUUGAUGUGCUCCACAUGUUCCUUCAUGGACUUGUCCUAUGACUUUCAUGUAUUCUUCCUUUCACAAGCAUCUCAAGAGUAGUCCAUCCUUGCUCUUUCAAACCAAAUCUUCAUUCCACAUAAGGUAAUUUAAAGCCAUGAUUCUUAUCUUUUUCUUGGAAGGGAGGGUUGGAUAUUGCAAAUAAUUGAUUAUAGGCAAUCUCUAAUCCUCAUCAGUCUUUAUGGCAUAAUUGACAUCUAUCUCCAUCCCUUUAGCUAGAACAGAUGGUAGACUCUUUUUUCCCAUUUUAAUGAUUCUCUAUACACAGUCUUCAUGUAUUUGCACUCAUGUUGCAAUCUGAGCCAUUUCAUUGGCUGCAAAAUUCUCUUUCCUUAGAAUAUGUUCCCAAGUAGUUUCCCUGAAUUCUGCCAGGAGAUUUUUGGCUGCCACAAAACAAACAGCUAAGGAAGGAUUCAAACACUUGUAUUCUCCAGCAAUCUGCUUUAGAACAAGCAUGGAAUCUCCCAGGAUUUUCGUAGACUGGAUUUCUAGUUCUACCAUCAUCUUAAGACCAACGAUCAAAGCUUCAUACUCUGCUCUGUUGUUGGUGCACUGGAAAUCUAGCUUGUAACAUCUCACAUCGACCAACGAAGAAGGGGUGAUGUGCCUUAUAUGUACAUGCCCAUCUCCAUCUAGCACGAGGCCUUUUGAGAGCUCACUAGCUUCAGAGUCAUGGGAACUCCGAAGUUAAAUGAGUUGGGGCUAGAGCAAUCCCAGGAUGGGUUACCCACUGGGAAGUUACCUGUGAGUUUCCAAAAAAAAAAACAUGAGGACAGAGAUGGUGGCCUAAAGCGGACAAUAUCGUGCUACAACGGAGCUGAUCCCGAGAUGUGACAAUUUGGUAUCAGAGCCACUCUGUCGUGUGGUGCGAGUGUGCCGACGAGGAUGUCAGGCCCUUAAGGGGGAUGAAUUGUAGCAUCUCACAUCAACCAACUGAGAGGGGGUGAUGUGUCUUAUAUGUACAUGCCCACCUCCAUUUAGCACGAGGCCUUUUGGGAGCUCACUGGCUUCGGAGUCAUGGGAACUCCGAAGUUAAGUGAGUUGGGGCUAGAGCAAUCCCAGGAUAGGUGACCUAUUGGGAAGUUGCUCAUGAGUUCUUAGAAAAAAAAAACCGUGAGGCCAUAGAGGAAGGCCCAAAGUAGACAAUAUCGUGCUACGGCAGAGCUGAUCCCCGGAUGUGAUAUAGCUGGGAUGAAUAACAAUAUCUGAUUCCCAAUGGAUCAUCUAAAACAAUUCAUGCUUCAGAAGCCAGGUCGAUUUUAGAUCCAUCAAAAUACAAAUUCCAAGGGGUGAGAUGGACUAAGUAUAUGGGAUUAUUAAGACAGAUAUGAGCUCUACUCAGCAAAUAUGCAUUGGCUAUAUCCAUGGAAUCUAUGUUCUCAAUCUCUUCCCCUGGAUGAUCUGCCAAGAAGUCUGCAAUAGUCUGUCCUUUGAUAGCAGUGAAGUACAAAGUCAGAGUCCAUUUACCAAUUCUGCCUCUCAAUAUUGGCCUCGUUAGCAUGUACUUGAUCAAAUCUGUUUUAGCAAUGAUGUAGAUGGUAAAAGGUAGCAUGUAAUGUCUGAGCUUUAUAGCAGUGAAGUACAAAGCCAAACAUAACCUUUCAAUCGCAGAAUACUUUCUUUCCACUUAUGUUAGAGUUCUGCUCAGGUAAUAGACUACAUGUUCCUUCCAUUCCUUGUUAUCUUGAACCAAAAGGCUCCUAAUAGAUACCUCUGAUGUAGAGACAUAUAAUUUGACUGGUCUGCCACUUUUUGGUGGAGACAGAACUAGUGGACUUGAGAGGUAAUGUUUGAUUUUCUCGAAAGCUGGCUAGUGUUGUUCUUCCCAUCUAAAUGCUUGUUUUUGUUUCAACUUUAGCAAGAAAGAGAAAUGCUGGAUUUUUCAGGGAGAAUUUGAUAUGAAUCUUAUGAGAAAGUUGAUCUUCCCUAACAGACUUUGCAAUUCUUUCUUGUUCCGAGGUGGCAAAGUUUGUAUGAUAGAUUUUGCUUUGUUCUUGUCAAUUUCUAUACCUUUUUGGUGGAUUAAGGACCCUAAGAAAUUGCCAGCUUGAACCCCAAAGAUGCAUUUUUUGGGAUUCAUCUUCAACUUGUGUUGUCUCAUUCUUAGAAAAGCUUUUCUUAAAUUAGAUACAUGAUUUCCCUUUUCUGGCGACUUAAUCACCAUGUCAUCUAUGUACACCUCUAGGGAAUGACCUAUCAUGUCAUGGAAUAUGAAGUUCAUUGCUCUUUGAUAGGUAGCCCCUGCAUUUCUCAAACCAAAAUGCAUCACAACAUAUUCAAAGGCAUCUAUGUAUCCUAGACACAUGAAAGUAGUUUUGUGAAUGUCUUCUUCUGCCACCAUUAUCUGUUUAUAGCCAGCAUUGCCAUCCACAAAUGAUAGCAUUUGGUUAUGAGCUACUCCAUCCACCAACAUAUCUGCCAUUAGCAUGAGGUACUCAACUUUGGGAGAUGCCUCGUUCAAAUUCCUGUAGUCCAUGCAAACUCUGACUGCUCUUGUCUUUCUUUUAAGAACUGGUACAGUGUUGGACAACCAAUCAACAUAACUGGCUGGCUUGAUAAAACCUACUUUAACUAGUCUUUCUAUUUCCUUUUUGACCUUCAAUUGUCUCCAUGGACAUUCUUCUUCUAGCCUGCUUGACUGAUAGGUAUCCUUCUUUUAUUGACAGUUUGUGCUAUACCAAUCCUCUGUCCAGUCUAGGCAUUUCAUGAUAAUGUCAUACGAAACAGUCUCUGAAAUCAUGCAGAAGUGCAAUGAUUUCAUCCUUCAAUGGUUUUGUAGCAAUGCACUGAUAAAAGUAGGCGUAGGAUCCUCUUCUGUCCCUAAGUUUAUUUCCUGUCAAAAGGUCUUCCACUUAUGGCAAGGAGUUAUCCAAUGUUGUUGGUGCAAACUCCAAUUCCUCCUCUUGUAAACUUUCUUCCUUCUCUUAUGCACUCUCAUGCAUGAAUUCUACCAUAUUAACGGCUGGAUUCUGCAUAAAGAGCUUCAUUUCUUCCCAAUAUACCAACAAUCUACUUGUAAUGGAUCAGAUUGUUGUAGCUCGAUCCUUUUCUUGUUAGUUUGAGCUAAACAUCAGAAUUUUGGAGGUUUAGGACAGAAGGCCUUUUCCAAUCCUCUAGAGAACUGGCUAGACCUUCUUCAAUGAGCCUCUGGGCCGUGACACCAUGGGGGCCGCCGUUCUGAUUGACUGCAAGGAAAGUAAAAGCACCAAGAUCAUCAUGAUAGUACCUGGCCUCGAAACACAUUGUAGAUGUAGAAAUGGCCAUGGAUCGGCCUCUACUAUCUCCAUAAAACCCUCUUCGUUCUAGAAGGCUAACUGUUGGUGUAGGGUGGAAGGAACACAUAGGCUCUGGUGGAUCCAGUUCCUGCCGAGCAAUGCAUUGUAAGUGGUAGAAGUGGUGUCUACCAUAAAGAAAGCAAUCUUUAGCUUCUUGGUUCCUUCUAUGACAUCCACAUCCAGUAUCUCAUAUGUCUUAGUGAUGCCCUCAGCAAAAUUUGGGACUGUAAUACGCGUUAGGAUUAGGUCUUUUUCUGUUUUGCCUAUCUUAGCCAAGGGUCUGUGAGGUAGCAGAUUGAUGGAUGCGCCUCCAUCUACCAUUACUUUAGUUAUAGGAAUCCCACCAAAAUUUACAAUGAUGAACAAGGGUUUGAGAUGAUUUGCCAUUUCCUCGGUAGAUUUGGUAAAGCACAACUACUUUGCAGGCAUUUUCAUGGUAGUUUUGCCUAUUUUGACAUCAAUGUUUUGCUGGUAUGGCACUUCUUACACUUCUGCCAACCUGCAUUCAAAACUUUCUUGGGAUAGUACAUCCCCUACCAUGGUCCUUUCUUGUCCUUCUGCUGCUCUAAACUUUUCUGACAAAAUAAACACCAUAUUGAUGCCCAAAUCACCUUGUAACAAACCUUCCAGUUCUGCACUGAAAGUUUGAGUUUCUUCAUGUAGUUCUCCGUCAUAUUUCGCCUGUUCUUCUCCAUAUUCCUUAGUCCAGUUCUCUCGAUCAUCUGUUUCAAGGAUUCCAGUCUGGUUGUUUGCAGAUGGUUCAUAAUCCAUCUGCUCUUCCUAGUAUUCUCCAGCCUAGUUCUCUUGGUCAUUUGCUAGAAGAAGUCCAGAUUGAUCCUGUAACUGUGAAAGCUCAAACUGAUUACUCGCAAAUGAACCUUGGUGGAUAAAGGAUUCAUUUGGAAAUUCUACUUCUGUCAGUUCCUCGGGUUGGUACACUGCCUGCUCUGCUUGAAGAUCCCCUUCUGGAUCAUUCUCAAUUCUGGCAGAACUGAUAUUUGUAAACACCUGUGUGUUUUCCCUGUUCUUAAGGAAAGUGCAAUACUGCCUCUAGAUUCUCCUUCUCUGUUUUUUGGUCAGCUUGAGGGUUGGCCUGCCUUUUUUUUUUUUUUUUUCAACAGAAUAUCAUCUACCUUCUAUGAUAGUUACCAAUGGCCUAUCACUUCUGGGUAUUUUGAUUGGCAUUUCCCUAUUUGGCUACUUAGUCACCUUUCUAAUGUGUUGGGCAGGCUUCUAAUAGGACCUCUGUCUGGCUGUGGCCCUGGAUAGGGCUGAAACUGCGGUCUGCUGGUGUGAUGCUCCGAUUAUGUCAAAAACGCUCACUAUGGGUUGUUUCUGCUCAUCCAGAAUUAUCUCUAGCUCGCAAUCACAUUUGCAUAUGCUGCACAAAACUACUCCAGUUGAAAUAGUAGCCUUUGGCUUUCAAUUUACCUUCUUUGUGACUCUUCUAUCCACGUUGGGAUUGAUUUCCAUUAUCAAUUUGCCUUUCUCCUAUUCUGGCUCGCUUAAGUUGACCAUGUUCACCUAAAGUUGAGGAAAAGGGUAUGUUGUCACUGUGGGGGAUUUCUUAGCUAGCUUGAGCUUUCAUGUUAUUACUCCUUCUUGUAUAAUGUCUCUAAAAACAACAUAAUUAUUGGUGGGGUAAUUCCAAUAUUGUCUACCUUUGAGUUCUUCUGAAGGUGUUCCUAUCGCCUUUUGUAGGAGUAUUUCAUUAAACAAAGCGUCAACUUGGGUUAAAUUGAAAGAAUAGAUCUUGUUCUGUGCUGGUUUGUUUGGGACAAAUCCUCCUGUAAAUUGACAGGACCCGAUCUAAAUUCCACUUUGGAAUCUGAGUCAGACCCUGUGCGUAUCCGACACCUGGCAAAUGUCGGGCACAAAUGACUUAUUUGCCCUUCUAUACAAAACACGAUAAAAUAACAAGGUUGACUUCUACCGAAAAAUCGGCAGAGUUUCCCUUGUAACUGGCUCAAAACCGAAAUAUUUACACCUGUCAAAACAAGUAUAUAUAGACAACCAACUGCCAGCAUACAUAUCUAUACACAUGCCAAGAGUUCAAAGCUCAGUUUAGGGCAAAACAUCAGAGCGACUACUAAGAAUUUACAAAAGAGUGAAUCUUUGUACAAAAUACAAAUCCUAUAUCAGAAGAAAGACGCGGAAGAUGGGAAGUGGCCCGGUGGUGGAUUCCUGUGCACGUCUACUGCCUGGGGGUGCAAAACAACAAUAAAGGUGAGUGGACCCAAAACAAAACUUAGAAAAUAAUAUAUGAACAUACUAACCCCAACAGUUAUACAAACUAACUUAUUUUCUUUAUUUCUGAAAUCAAUGCAUGUAUAUAACUAUACAUUUGAAAACAGUUGAGAACUAUCAUCGAGGUGUACCCUCUUUCCGUCAAUUCCUUGUAUCCGUCAAUUCCUUGCAUCACCAUGGGUGACACAUACUCGUAGGUCUCAGUGACACGAGGUCAGUCCGAGCCGCAACUCGCAGGAUUUAGAGAACCGUAGUCCACCUUUAUCCGCAUUACUCGCUCCACACGAGUUCGAGUACCAAGGAACUCGUGGGGCAACUGUCAAGCAUGCUGACUAAACCGAAGGCAACAAAUAUAAUCCGAAGGCAACAUUUAAUAUCUGGGUACCAGGUGGUUUAAGAAAAUAUAAAUUUUCUGAAGAAAAUCUGUUGAAUAAUUAACUUUCUGUAACCUUUAAAAUUCUGCUGCCAUUUAUCUGAUAAUUAACGAGAAUAUCUGUUCAUAUAAGUUUUAAAGGAAACUUCACUCGGCAGCAUGCAACAUAAAAUAGUUAACAGCAUAAAACAGCUUAUAACUGAAACUGAACUGUUUAAAUUUAUUUAUUAAAACAAAGAGUCCACUCACUGAUAGUCUGAGCUCGCUGGACCUCUUGAAGGUCCCUCCUGCGGGUCAACUGGUGCCCGGGUGCUUGAUUCAAUGACCAUAAUAUUCUAUUAAUACAAUAUAGUAUGAAAUUAAAAACCCUACCCCCGGCUCCUAAAAGUACGUGCAUCAAUUUAAAGUGAUCCCUAUGCCCAUAAAAGCUUUCCUUCUACGUGGGGUAGUUUAGCGGUAUCUUGGGACUCAAAUAGCGCUAAGGUCCAAAAAGUCAAUCCGGAACCCCACGGGUCCAUGACCUCACAAUAUGAUCUGGAUGCCGCUAGAAAGUCCACUAUAUUUAGGACACAUGUCCCGAGGAUAUUGAUGUCAAUCGGACGGUCGGAUUGAUCACAAUCCUGCAAUCGCAUAAUUUCUAAACCCUAGCCCUAGGGUUCGGGAUUUCGGAGUACGAUUCACAAUCCGUCGAAUCCUAUACGUUUCUAAAAUUAUCUAGAAUAAUACAUCCAAAAUUGAUUACGAUCCAACGGCUCAACAGUAUUGAACCCGGUAAUCGCAUAAUAUGGAAAAUCCGUUCGAGGCUCAAACGGUAUCCAAAUUGAGAUCCGCGAAUUCCUAUGCGCUCGUGACGACCUAAGGAUUGCAUCAGAACACAGUUCCAUGGCACCACACUCGCCCACGAGCCGCCGCACACGCCGGCAGCGAUGGGUGUCCAAAGCGAUAACGCAUCGCCAGAAAAUCUCAAAACCAAGGCUCCAAACUCCUAUCCUAGGUAUAACACCAUAUUUGGAACCACUUUUGUUCUUGGACCUACCCCAAAAACUGACCGAAAGUGGCCGAGCACGGAGGCCGAAAGUCGACCGAAUGUCCAAUUUGAAAACUGAGCUAGCUACGGUGAAAGUCAACGCAAACCUACCCAACCAUCAGCUACAGCAUGGAAAAUAGGUAGAAAUUCAUACCUUACUCGACAAAUUUGGAGGAGAACUGAAGGAGAACGAACUGUUUGAAGUUUUGACAAAACCAAUCGAUUUUCUGCAAAUUCCGUCGACGACAACGGCGGAGUGGAGCGGCUGAGGGCUGAGGCGUGUAGAGGAGGACGAGCUGGUUCUUUUGGGACCGGUGCCGAUGGAAUUGAUGGCCGGACGUGGUGGUGGCGAGGAGAAGAAAAAUCGUCUGGGGAGGAGGAGGUUUCGCGCGACGAGAGAGAGAGAGAGAGAGAGAGAGAGAGAAACUGAGGUUUAUAAAAAUUCUGAUUUUUUAAAUUACCAUUUUGCCCCUCGUGAUAUUUUACUCGUAUUUUCUUCGUUAAAGCUCCGAUUUGAGCUCACUUCGUGUCUAUGAACUCGUGUCGUCGUGCUCUACGCAACGGCAUAUGUGGAAUUGUCAAAUUCCUUUUGGGUCAAAAAGUCAACUUUUUCUUAAUAAAAUAUUCGAAGGGCAAAAUCGUCUUUCUACAAAAUAAAUUAUUGAUUAAAUAUGAAUUUUAGGUUUGGGUCAUUACAUAAAUAGUGGUGGCUUUUGAUCCUUUUGUGGUUUAAUCAAAGCCCUACAGUUGAUAGGAUGCUUUAGCUUUGCCUUUUCUGCCACUACCACCUCUAUUUCUUCUGAAAUUUCUUGGCCUUCUUCUUAUUCCACUUCAACCAAAUGGACUGAGGAAGAUGGUGUCUUGUAGUACGUGUCUUUGAAAGAAUUUCUCUUCUGCUACUCUUCCUUUAGCAGUUCUUCAUAUUUGGAGGCCUUAUCUGCCAAUUCUACCAAGUCUCUAAAAACCAUUCCAUCGAAUCUCUUUCUUGGAGAAAUGUGGAGGGCAGUCUGGGCCAUCUGGAUGAAAUGCCUUUCUUCCAUGGGGAUUCUGCACUUCAUUUUGAGCUUCCUAAACCUGGUGAUGAAGUCCUGGGCAGGUUCAUCUUUACUUUGCUUAAGAGCAGCAAGGUCACUAAUGGUUACUUCUAGCUGAAUUCUGAAAUAGUACUCGUGGAAAGCAUUCCCCAUCUACUCCCAUGUCUGGACGGAAUUAGCUGACAAAUUAGUAUACCAGGUAAAAGCUUGUCCGGACAAGGAAUUCCCAAAAGCCUAAGCUUCAAUAGGGGAUUAUUCUCUAUAGCUAUGCACUGGAUAGAAAAUCUAUCUAUAUGUUCUACUGACGACGCGUAAGCGUCCUCUUCAUUGAACAGAGUGAAUUUGGUACUUUGAAACUAGGGGGUAGAGGUAUCUGAUCAAUGUAAGUAGGAUAUGGCUUCUUGUAAGUGGGCCUUUCAUCUCUUCUGGCCUCAGGAUAUAUCAUCUCUCUAAUUAUUUUUUGUAGUGCCCCUAUGUCAUUCAAAGCGUUAAUAUAGGGUAAGUUUCGUCUCUUUUCUAGCUGAUUAUGUUCAGCCCUCUAUUCCAUUCUGUAUGGUCUGGCUAUGACCUCUUCCUUAUGUUCUUUUUCUUCGAAAUCUGGAUGAUUUCUCCAGUUUGCCCCUAUUAUAUUUCUGUCAUUGUUGGCAAAAGGGUUAAUUUCCCCCCUUUGCCUCUUCUCCCUCUUGAUAGUGGGGGAAGUGGAUUGGGAUGACAAAGGCUCUGAUUCUCUGUUCAAGCAUAUAUGCCACUGGUCGGCCAUGUGGGACUUCUGGCCGUGGAAUAGGUGGAAGUUCUGACUGGUUCUGAGGAACCUGUACUACUACUGGAAGAACUGGAGCUUCCUGUUCUUGGAUGACAAAGGCUUCUCCCUUUUGUCCAACCUGGAUCUUUGUCGGUCCAGACACUCCAACUAUUUGUUCAAUAAGGGGAUUUUCCUGGUAUGACCAUGCUAAUCCUGGUGGAGGUCCGAAAGGGAGUUCUAGCUGCUAGAUUAUAGCGUCUGGGUUUGGAAUCCUCGCAAUAGCAGCCUUACGAUCCUUUCUGAAUUGCAUGUUGACUUGCCAUUGCAUCAUGGCUGUCAUGUUGUUCAGAGUGUCCUGGCUUCUUAUCGGAGCACAAGCACCUGUAUCUGGUUUAUCCUUUGAGAGCCUGACUGGGAACGUCUACUCCUGGUACGGCCAUAAAUUGAUUGCCUAGCAUCACUCUCUUCUGACUCAUGCCCUCCGUCCUGGAAGUCUGGUUGAUCUCUUUCCGAGGCAAAGCGUGGGCUUUGGUUAGAACUUCCAAUAUUUAUAUGCUGGAAAGAAGUCUAUAUUAAGAGGUCCACCUGGGUGUGCCAAAUUGUUCACCCGUUUUGAUUUAGCCCUAUGAUGGUAAGGUAAAGCUCCCCACUAACUUGAAAACCAUUGGUGGUCCACAAGUCAACUUUCUUUGGUGUGCGAGCGUGCCACUGUUAGCAGUUAAAAACCCUAAUAGGCUUAUGAAAGAUAGAUAACUUUGCCCCAAGUUACUGACUUUAAACAAGUGAUUGUGAAUUUGGGUGAGGAAUAUCUCCCAAGUAAGUUCUUUUCUUGCCUCAAACUGGUGAGGACUUCACAAUUUCUCAUAGUAAACUAGUAAACGAGGUCGUAUCUUGUUACUUGUAUAUAAUUCAUUCACAUCUGAAGAAUAUUGAGCAUUGGAAUUUUUAGUUCUAUUUUGGAAUUCCCCAGGAUUCAUGUUACUUAUUGUUGUCUUCUUUAGGUAUGAAUCCUAUAGAUUUUUUUUAAAAUUCUGUCAGUGAUUUGAACUACUUUAUUUUGCCCCUAAAUUUAAAAAUUUCUGAAUUCAUCACUGGUUACAGUAAUAAUAAAUAAAUAUGGACUCGCCACUCCACCAACCUGUUUUGGACAAUAAACAACUAAUUAACCAUGAUGUCCUCCUUUUUCCUUCUCAAAUGCACCGACCUUUCCAAAUUAUCUACCACCAUUACUUUAUGCCAGCCAUUAUUACCAAGGCCGGUCUUGAGAUUUUGAAGGCUCCGUGCGAACCUUAAAUUUGGGCCUCACAUAAGCUAACACAAACUUACACCAUUACGUAAUGCCAUACAAUAAAUGUUUUUUUUCUUAAAGUGACCAAAGUACCCAUACUCACAAGGACAAAAUUGAAAUUUCACAAAACAAUUAAAUUGGAUUAGAUUGAUUAAAUUAGGUCAGGGAUGUUAUACCUUUUGAAUAAUCACCAUGAUUAUGACGAUGAGUCUUUGUCAUCAUAGAUCAUAUUCAGAUAUUAAAUAUUUUUUAACACCAAUGUAUUUUGUAUUUUGGUUGAGUUAGUUGGAUGCAUAAAUAUUCUAGGAACAUCAUUAAUUCAAUGCAAUUAUUUUGGUUGAGUUAGUUGGAUGCAUUAUUUUUUCCAAAAUUGAAUAUCUAAGCAUAGGCUUUAGGGUAUUUAUUAUUUCAGUUUGUGGUUGUGAAAGUAGCUGGGAUAUUGAAUGUUGGUGUUGACAUUAGACAAGCCUUUAACACAAGUGGGUUUUGAAGUCGCGCCCAGAAUAAAAGUUGAGGCUCUGCAAACUAACACAACUAGGAACGUCUUUGUGUCAACAAUUUGCUCACUCGAUAUAUAUAUAUAACAUUUGUUAAACAUAUAUUAUACAUAUAAAAAAAAUCGGGUCCCUGUGCGGUGGCACCACUUGCACACCCUCAGAGCCACCCCUGAUCAUUACAUUCGAACCCACUCCAACAUUAUGAUUUAAGAAUUAACAUUAAAUAAUUAUAUUUGACUUCAUCAUAUUUUCUAAUUAUAAUAUAGUAAUUACUCCUUUCGUGAUAACCACUCUUCUAAGAUAUACGAAUUCCUAUCAGUUUUAUUUGGCUGCUUAUGUGUAAGAGCAUCUCAUGUUUAUAUAUUAAAAGACAAGACUCGUGAUGCUAGGAAAAAUGAGUUGAACUACUACCCCAAUAUAUAAUGACUAUCAUGAGGAUUAGGUAACGUGGUUAGCUAAUAUGAUUAGAAAAUAUGAUUUAUCUAAUCACUUCUUAUAAGGUUUUUCUGUGUAGGGAAGGUUGGAUUUUAUUUUAUUUUUUAUCAAAGUCGAAAGAUAACUUUAUUAAAAGUGGAUGGAAACGUGAAUUGAAUUGUUAGACGUUGAUUUCUCUUCUUUAGACAAUUAAUAAAUUUGGUCGUAGUGCCCUUCUGGAAAGCUUGUGGAUAACUUGAUUUACUACAAAAACACCUGCUCCAUCAUUGAUCUUAAAUCAUUACAUAUAGAGUGCUAAUGGAGUUCUUGUGGAGGCUGGGUAGGUUUUUUUAAAAUAUUUUAUUUUUAUAAAUAAAAUUUUUAAUUAUUUCAUUUGUAAAUAUGUAAUAAGUUUUUAAAUUUAUUUAAAUAGGAUGUAUUAUAGGUAUUUCUGGUAAUUAAAUAUGGUGAAAUAGAACGAGUUGUAAAAAUAACAACACUCUCAUUUAUAUAUAUUUUUUGAAAAAUCACCGACUUAUCUUAUUGCUAAUGUAAAUUGUAAUUGACUUAUUGAGGGAGCACUCCCAUUGGUCAUGCUUAGAGCUCCACUCACAUGAAAUCUUGUUGUUGGUUUUUUUUUUUUUUUUUUUUUAAAUUUUUUUAGUAAAGAUGAACUUUCAUUAAUAAAGACCAAAAAGAGAUCAAAGAACCACCGAGACUACACAACCAGUCAAACGGCAUUAACAAGAAAAAGAAACCAAAGCUACAAGAGAGUAAAAUAAAAGAGGAAAACACAGCACAGCCAACGAACAGCAUCACAUAUUUUGUUACUUGGUAACUGGUUCAGGUUGUGGGCUUCAAGGAAAUUGAUCUUAUAAUAUUCAAGAGUAGGCAAGGGGAUUCCAACAAAAAAAGAGACAAGGCAAGCGGAUUCCCCUCCAAACAAACCAAAAAAGAGUAGGCAAGUGGAGCAUCUGGAAUUUGAUCUGAAAAAUUCGCGGACAAUUCUUAUCAGAAAGACUUUUAUGAAAUGAAAGUAGUAUUAUUUUAUUCUCGUGAUCAUUGUGACAUGCGUAAACAUAUUUUCAGUAUUAUUGGUUAUGAAUAAAAUAAUUAACAAAAUAAUAUUAUUCCCCAUUGCAAGUUGCAACUGAUCCUAAUGGAAAGUAAUAGUUAAAGAAACGGAUUCCAUUCUACCUCAAAUCAUUGGAAAUUCGUAUCGAUUUGAGAUUUAAAAAUAAUUUUUUACUUAUUAAUAUAGCUGUCAACAUUUAAUUAGUUGAGUGGGAUCCAUUAGGGACCGGUAUCAUAGAAGAUUGUCUCACACCCCUAAUUUGGUACUAUUUAUGGGAGCUUGAUAACUGUUAUCACUUCCGCUAGAGCAAAAUAGAUAUACAUCUUUUCUUCUUGGCUUUGGGGUAUACAGAUAGAGACAUAAAUUUCUAUUGAAAAGUUGGGUUUAAUUCUCAGAUUUCUAUUUAACCGUUUGUGAUUCAAACCUGUUGUAUAGGUAUAGUUGGAUAUUCUACAUGUCCUAUAGACUUAGGUUGGUUCAUAAUCUUUUUCACUACAACAGCAAGUAAUCUUGAAAAAUAAACCUUAUAAGCCUAAGGUACAGGUACAUCAACCAAUACUAAUAAACGGGAAGAAAAAACGCAAUCAAAUUUUACCUACAAACAACAAAUAUGAAAAAUAAACCUUUCCUUACAUACCUUCACUGUAGCUAUAUGCCAAGUCAACUAUUUUCCUCCCCAUAUUCAACACUCAAACUACCUCUCCAUUAGAGACACAUGAACCUAAUGAAAAAAAAUAGAUAAGUUGAAUACUUCAUAGCAAAUCUAACUGUGACACAAGUAAUUCAAUCCUAAUUUGGAAUUUGUGAAAAUCUUCAUUAAGGAAGUCAAAAAUCAGCAGAGAUUGGGAUAGAAUGACCAUGAUUGUAGGAGACAAGCAGCUUGUUGGGAGGGGUCGGCUUUAUUUGCCUUUUCUAUUUAAUGGCACUAGAAGUAAAUAUCUUAAUAAGGAUGGACAAAGGCAUUGCUUACGUGUCCAUUGGAUUGUUUGGUGGACUGCUAUUGAGGAGCCAAAAUUGAUGUACUUCAUCCAUUGUAUCUUAAUAAAAAUGGAUCUAUAUCUAAGAACCCCUAAAGAUUAUUAAUAAAAAUACACUUACUAAAAAAAAAUGAAAGAAAGAGAGGAGCUCGAUGAGGAGGAAGACGAGAGAGGCUCUAAAUUCUUCAACAAGAAGAGAAGUUUCUUUUAUGAAGUUGAAAGCAUUGCUCAAGAUGUAAUUGAGAGCUUGUGAAUAUAGUAUUUUGUAUAGGAUGUUGAAGGAUUAAGUGUGUAAUUGGUGGAUUUUGGGCUCUAGAUGGCUAUUGUUGAACUCCAUGGAUAUGUUAGUGUACUGCUUUUAAAUUUUUCAGGACCCUAAAUGGAACAAUUUCCAGCAAUUUAUAGAUUUGUUGUAUUGUAGCUAUUAAGUAAUUCGGGUGAACAUCCAAUUAAAAACCAAUUAAUGAUGAGUGAACAGCGUGCAUAUGUUAGCUGUUAAUUUGUUUUUUCUUUUGUUGGCAUUACCUGUUCAACCAAUAUUAUAUGUGGAGUAAUCGAUUCGAGUAACUUAUUAUAUGUUAGAAAAUGGACUUACCCAUCACAGCACAUGGAGUACACAUCCUCACAUGCAUGGGAGAAUGCCCAACAAUUGUUUAAUCAACGAUUGUCCCAACCAUGCUCAUGCAUAACAUCGAUUUCUAAUUAUUAAUUGAUAAUGUCUCUCUCUCUCUCGAGGGCCGAGAACUCGGGGAUUCCUUUUAGAACUUUUUUUAUUUAUUUUUUAUUUUUUAUGAAGUAAUUCCUUUGAGAACUUGUGACCGACAAAAUGAUGAAAAGAGAUGGAAUCUACUUUUUCGAGUUUUCAGAGCAAUAAUAGAACCAUAGCAAGAUCUCUCUCUUCUAGUACAUCUGAGCUGAGCCCCAACCCACCACCACACAAUCGAAUCUUAUCUUCUCACAUGUAUUUUGAUUUUUAAAUUUUGUGUUUCAUCCGGUUGAUUGCUCUUCUAGAACCAUAGCAAGAUCUCUCUCUUCUAGAACUAAUUAUAGAUGUGUAUGUUUUGAUUAAGCUAGUAUAUACCAAAAUAAGGCCAUAAUGGCGUCAGUUACAGCAGACCUCUUCAUUGGCAAAUUUGUAGCAAUUCUCGAGAGUGAAGCAGCCUCCAUAGCCGGUGUUGAUGAUCAAGUUGAUGAGAUUAAGCUGGAGCUGGAAUUCAUGAAAGCCUUCUUAGCGGUUGCUGACGGGGGCAACAAAGCACACACACAAGUAGAGGAAGUGUGGAUCACAAGCAUGAUUUCUAAGCAAUAACUUCUGAUCAUCUCUUUCUUCUAGCAAUAAUAAAUAUAUCAUUUAUUGCCUUACCCACCACCACACAAUCGAAUCUUAUCUUCUCAUGUAUUUUGAUUUUUAAAUUUUGUGUUACAUCCGGUUUAUUGCUCCCCAGAAUCAAUUCUAGAUGUGUUGUUUUGAUUAAGCUAGUAUAUACCAAAAUAAGGCCAUUAUGACGUCUGCUGCAACAGACCUCUUCAUUGGAAAAUUUGUAGCCAUUCUAGAGAGUGAAGCAGCCUCCAUAGCGGGUGUUCGUGAUCAAGUUGAUGAGAUUAAGCAGGAGCUGGUAUUCAUGAAAUCCUUCUUAGAGGAUGCUGACGGUGGAGAGCAGGCACACACACAAGUAGAGAAAGCGUGGGUCGCAAGCGUUCGAGACUUGGCCAAUGAUGUUGAAAACACCAUUGAUGAGUUCAUGUAUCGCGUGUAUGAGCAACGAAAUGGUGGUCGAUUUUCCAGGUGGUUCCACAAAACCAUUCACUUUCCAAAGCAUCUUUGGUAUAAGCGUCGAAUAGCCAACAAGUUACAGAAAAUCGCGGUGGCGAUUAGAGCUAUUCCAGAGAGAAAUCAGAGAUAUCAUGGUGCUGCAGCUGUAGAAGUAAAAAGUACUUCUGAGGAUACUCGAAGAUGGGUACGGAACCAAGCGGAGUCUUCUCUUUAUCAGAAGGAGGAUGAACUUGUCGGGAUUGAAGGCGAUAAGAACAUGUUACUGGGAUGGCUGAUGGAUGAAGCGAAGCACCAAAUUGUUGUGUCCGUGGUCGGGAUGGGAGGAUCAGGGAAGACAACUCUAGUUGCAAGAAUCUUCAAAGAUGACAUUGUAAAGAGAGAUUUCGAAUGCUAUGCAUGGAUUACUGUUUCCCAGUCUUAUGUGAUUGAAGACUUACUUAGAAGAUUGAUAAAAGAAUUCCACAAAGGAAAGAGGGAAGAGGUCCCUGCAGACAUAAAUGCCAUGAGUUAUAACGAAUUGCUGGAGAUUUUGGUGAACUACUUGGAGACUAAAAGGUACCUAAUUGUAUUGGAUGACGUGUGGGAUGUCCACCUUUGGGACAAAAUAAGGUUUUCAUUUCCAGAUAAACAACUUGGAAGUCGAGUCAUGCUUACAACUCGAAGAGAAGACAUAGCAUCCUCUUCUUUUGGAGUUGAAAGCCAUGUUCACAAGAUUCAACCGUUGGAAAGGGGUGAUGCGUGGGAGCUUUUCAGCAUGAAAGCAUUCUCGAGUUAUCAGAACAAAUCUUGUUCACCUGAACUUUUGCCUUUAGCUCGGGAACUUGUGGAAAAGUGUGAAGGUCUACCACUCGCGAUCGUAGCCUUAAGUGGUCUCAUGUCUUCUAAGAAGUCACUUAAAGAGUGGAGCACAGUCUACAACAGCUUAAAUUGGCAUCUAACAAACAAUUCUUUGUUAGAACCUAUGAAGAUGCGCAUCUUGUUGUUUAGUUUUAAUGAUUUGCCAUACCGAUUGAAGCAAUGCUUUCUCUCUUGUUCACUUUUCCCUGAAGAUCAUGUGAUCGUAAAUAAUAGGCUCAUCACAUUGUGGAUCGCUGAAGGAUUUGUUGAACAUGUCGAAGGGCUCACGCCAGAAGAAGUUGCAAAUAGCUAUCUUAUGGAACUCAUUUUUCGUAACAUGCUACAGCAAAGGUUUCUAGGAUCCCUCCCAGCAUGUAAGAUGCAUGAUCUUUUGAGGGAGAUUGCUCUGUCUAUAGCAAAAGAAGAAAAGUUUUGCGUUGUACAUGAUGGGGGUGAAAUAGUAGAAGAAACUGGGGCACUCCGUUUGUCAAUUCAAACAACUAAUGGAGAAAUUAGAUCAUGCACAGGUAUAUCACGGUUUCGUUCGUUUCUUGUCUUUGCCACUAGCGUAUCCUCAUUCUCUUUCCCAAAUAAAUUACCUUUUGACCUUAAAUUGUUGAAGGUUCUGGAUUUGGAGGAUGUCCCAAUUGAUAAUCUACCAGACAAUCUAACGUCCUUAUUCAAUUUAAAAUAUUUAAAUUUGAGUGGAACUCCAAUUACUGAGCUUCCAGAAUCCAUUGGACAGCUCCGCAACCUUCAGACCUUGAACAUCAAUCUGACAAAAAUAGAGGCACUUCCAAGAGGGAUUUCCAAGUUGCUAAACUUACGCCAUUUACUUGUGAGCAGGUCCAUUUAUGGAAAGGCAAUUGGGGUAAGAAUACCAUCAAGUAUUAGUAAGAUGAAGAAAUUGCAAACUUUGGCAUAUAUUGAAUCAGAAGGAAAUAUUAUUAGACUUAUUGGAAGUAUGACCCAACUUACGUUCCUUGGCAUUACAAAUGUGAAAGAAAGAGACGAGGAGGACCUUUGUGCCUCAAUUCAAGAGAUGAAGGUCCUUUCCCGCUUGUUUUUAUCUGUAGCUGAUGGAGAGGAAUUUCUUCGAGUUGACGCAUUGUCUUCACGGACUCCCUACCUUGAUAGACUUGAAUUGGUCGGCAAACUGGAAAAGGUACCACAUUGGUUUUGUUCACUCCACUCUCUCGCAUCUUUGAAUCUGUCUGGGUCCAGACUUGAAG
rnacentral:lncRNA from 1 species